rnacentral:lncRNA from 1 species
UUUGAGUCAUAUUAUGUAAUAAUCAAAAUACUGGAAAUUGGUUUCUAACCGCCAUCAUAACCUAUUUCAAAAUGUAAUGCCAAUCACACAUCUUUCCUUAACUAAGUAUUAUAAGUUUUAAUUUUAAUUUUUUCUUUUGGAAUUUCUUUUGGUUAUGUCUCCAAUUAACUUACAUUCAAAAAUCGAAACCACGAAUCUGAAUUAUUAAUAGAGUUUCUCUAAUUAUAUAAUCAAGAAUAUAUUUUUGAGACCUAACCAAUUUGUCCAAACCAAAAUUUACAACAUCAUCACAGCCCUCAACAAUGGUUACACCAUGAAGACAUCAACUAGAACAAUCAUCAUCCAAAUAAGUUUACAAAUCAUUAACAAACUCAAUAAAAUCAUAAGAAACAAAACAUAGAACUAAAGAGUCAAAACCGAGUCGGGUUAAAAUGAAACCAAGUCGAUUCAAUUCGGAAAGCAUUCGGCGAAGACAAAUUCAAAUUAAGCUCAAACUGAAAUUGACGGAACAACACGAGAACAAUCAGAACCGAACCGGAGUUGAAUUCGGAACUCACAUAUGAUGUUGUCCCACACGUAUAACUCUGAUCAAUGCACCGACCACCACGUCUCUCCGCGAUACCCGCAACACUAACAACGGAUUCAUGCGUAAACCGCCGGAAUCGAGUUCACAGCCACACCCAUCCACUAAACGAUGCACCCUCAUUCCGACCAGAUCCAUCGACAUAUCUUCCGCCGAAAAACCACGAAUUAGUAACUACCAACCACCAUCGCACCACUGGUGAAUCGAUCGCCAUCGUCGGACUCCUCCGCAAUCUCCGUCGUUUGUUUCAGAUCUGUUACACUUUUAUCAAUCCACUCUUUCUUUCCAUUUAAAAAUUGUUGCUCUUCGUGAGUGAUAUUGGUAUGAUAUAUUGAUUUUAUUUGAGAUUGUUUGAGGAGAAAGCUUGAAUUUGGGAAAAUUGGAGUUUUGAAGUUUCUUCAUUCUGGGUGUAGUUACUGGAAGUGAAAAAAAGAUAAAGAGAAUUUUAUUCUCUUUCUUUAUGCAUCACCGUGGAAAGAGAGAGAAGAGUAUAUAUCCGGUUAUCAUUUGACUAAAAUACUAAUUCAUUAUGUUUUAUGUUUUUAUUUUUUAUUUUUAAUAUAUGCCACAUGUCGCGAUGGGGUUGGGCGGUCAAGAAGUCAAUGAGGAGCACUCUUUUAAUGUCCAGCAUUCUUUUUCUUUGUUGCUUCACGUUUGUUCUUUUCUUUUCUUUUACUUUAAAGACAUUAGUUUGGGUUUAAUUACCAUAAAAUACAAAAAUAAAAUUAAUUGAUGAAUAUCAUUUAAUUGAGUAGGAUUUUUUAGGAUAGUAUUUAAGGUUAAUUUUAGGACAUCAUUAGAGUUUUAAUUGAUUCAAUUAAAAUAAUGAAUAAUUAUUUAGUUAUUUCAUUUAGGGUUUAAGAUUUAAAAUUGAAUACCAAAAUUUAGGAUUUUUUAUAGUAGUUAUAAUAGUCAUAUUUUUAUUAGGGAUAAAUACCAUUCACAUUAGGGUUAAUUAAAUCAAGAAACAUGGGAUAGAAUUAUGGAUAAUGUUUAGGGUUUUAGGGGAUAUAAAAAUGGGAUAAAAUCUCGAUAGGGGAUACAUCUUAUUACAUCUAACUUAAUUUAUUUUUAUUAAUUAAAUUAAAUUAUAUUUAUAAAUUUAAUAGGAUAAGAAUGUGGGAUUCAAUGCGGGAUAAAAUUCUCUUGUUGUUAAGGGUUAAAUCAGAGAUAAAAUCAGGAUAAAGAAUUAUGUAUAAUGAAAUAUGGGAUAAAAAAUGUGGGAUAAUUUUGGGAUAUGAAUUUGGAAUAAAUAAUGUGAGAUAACUUUGGGAUAAAAUUAUGAGAUAAAUUUCUAGGAUUUUAGAGAUAAAAAAAUAUGGGAUAAGGAAUAUCUUAUUAACCUUUUAAUAUUUUUAUUAAUUGAAUAUAUAAUAUCAUUAUUAAUUAAAGAAUAAUAAUUAGAACACGAUGGGAUAUAAUUAGGGAUAUUUUAUGGGAUAAUCAUGGGAUAACUUUGGGAUAAUAUGGGAUAGAAUUCUAUGACAAAUUCUAAGGGUUUUAAAGGGAUAAAAAUUGGGGUACGGGAUAUAUUAUCUAAGGGAUACAUUAUUUAUUUUCUUAAAUCAACUAGAUGUUAUAUUUUUGAAUUAAAUAUUUUGGAUAAAAUUGAUCUCAACACACUUCAAAUUAUAAGUCCUCUACCUUGAGGUAUUGAGGCAUUUUAAAAAUCAAUCAUUUCUCCGCUCCCGAUGCGUGAGAGUAUUCAAGGGAUAAAAACGACAAAACAAACAAUUAUUUUCUAGAAGAACUACGGUACUCUGAUCCCUCGCCUAAUGCGGAGGUACGUAGGCAUAGAGUUGUAAACUCUAGCGAGUACAAUCAUAAAAAAAACCUUUUUGGGUCCCUCAUCCGUUUAAAUAGAAUAUUUUCUGUAAAUAUAAUAAAUAAUUAAUAGUUAAUUAGUAAUCAAGCAAACACCUUAGAAACAUACACUGACCCUAGAAUUGUAGGAGGAUCCCAUUGAGUACAAUGGAGGUAAGGGGUGCCUAACACCUUCCCCUUACUUAAACCGACUCCCGAACCUAGUCUUUCACCCUUAACUAUUAGGUUUUAUCAUUAUUUCCCUGUUCCUUAGGAACGAAUAAAGGAUGGUGGCGACUCUGUCAUUUUUCCAGCCGCGACAGCUGGCGACUCUGCUGGGGAGUUCUUAUACUUUCCCUAAAGAGAGUCCAUCCUAACCUUGGGUUUUAGGGUUGUGCUUGUUUCUAUGUGUAUUUGCUUUCCUUUAUUUAUGUUUAUUUAUUUAUUUAUUCACUUUAUUCUUUAUUAUAUUAUUAUGCAUGUCAUAUCAUAUUGAUUGGGAUUUUCAAAGGUGUGAAGUCAAAACCCAGGCUUGAGAAAAAAUAUAAGCUUAAGUAAGGGGUCGUCUUGUCUCGGCCACCGGGGUUUUCAUCCUGUGGGGUCUUUGAUGACGAUUCCGCCCAGAAUAGACCAAUUCAAAAGGGUUGUCAUGAGAAGGCCAGCACUUCUUCGUGAUAAAACUUUGAGUUCGGUCCAUGACUCUGGGGACCUCUUCUAGAACCCUCUUAACUUAGGGUGACCUUAUGUUAUCAACCUGCAAAGGUCAUUACUAAGGUCCCGCCUAGACGAGACUUAUCCCGAAGGAUUACCGUAGGAAGGCUUGCUCCUUCUCAUGGUAAAACAAGGGUAUAAUCCAUGACCCUAGGACUAUUAUCUUACCCAAAGCUUUAUAUCCUACAAGUGAGGGGAUUGCCAUCAGAUUCGGAUCUAGACUGUAUAGUAUUCCUUAGAUGGGAUAACUAGGUCAUGCUUGCAUAUUAUCUUACAUAUCCCGAAACUGUUUGGGUUUCCCAUGCCAACUAUUAUCCCUAUCUAUAAGGAACCUUCUUAAACAAGGUGUCCUUAUAUUCUACAUUAUCCUUAAACCCAUAUGUGGGUUCUAUAUCCAUCACAAUCUCUAAACCCGUGUGGGUUCUUCUAUCUGUCACUGUCCUAAUGGGAUAGUUGCAUUGCAUCUUAAAAAAAAAACUUUUAGCAUCCCUUCAAAUUAAAAAAUUAAAAAAUAUUUUUGCAUACCCACGCAUUUUCGUGCAUUUGCAUACAUACAUAUACAUUUGCAUACAUAUAUAUACAUUUGCAUACAUACAUAUACAUUUGCAUAUCCUUUCCACUUUCUCCCCUAUCCAGCUAGCAAGUCUCCUGAUGCUCGCAAAUGAACUUGCCACAUGUCUCAAGAAGAGAAAGUACCAUUUAAGAGAGAAGGUAACCCUUUUCCUUGCAAGCCACCGACCUAUCCAAUGCUUUAAAUACAACGAACCUGGAUGAUGUACAAAUGAACUUGCCACAUGUCUCAAGAAGAGAAAGUACCAUUUAAGAGAGAAGGUAACCCUUUUCCUUGCAAGCCACCGACCUAUCCAAUGCUUUAAAUACAACGAACCUGGAUGAUGUCACCGUAAUAAGGUCUGCAACGAUAUCUUCUUCGGCUACAACCCUAUGCGCCUCAUUAAUCACAACAAAGGAAGCUUGGAAGGAAAUUGGAUCCUAUACUAACGUCUCAUGACUUAAUUAGAGGUGCCCUAGUAGGACUACAACUGAUUGAUCUCUGUCCUGGUCUAUACCCUAGAAGUCAUGGCGAGAAUGGCCGAUGUAAGCACAAAGUACAAGACCUACAAUUGACUUUCAAAAAAGGAGUCCCAUUGAUGAAUGGUCACCCUUACUUUAACAAUGUGCAAGGACGUCAAGAAAAGCAUCCCCUAAAGAUAAUGGAUCAACAAUGAAGCUCAUCCUUGGGAUCAAAAGACUUUAUCAGUUCCAGUUGUAAUUUCUUUUUUGCUAAGUGGUUUUUGUAUUAAAAGUUGUACUCUUUGGGAAAUAAUUUUAGUAAAAUGAGCAUGCAUGUUUUUGAAAUCAAUUCAUUCGUUUACACUCUCUUUCUUAUGCCAUCAUGAAAAUAAAAAUAAAAAUCAAUCAAACCUUUUAUUUUCACUUCUCACCUAUUAACAAACUUAUGAGGAGAAUGAAAUAAAAUAACUAAAUUUUGAGGGGUCUUUGAUGACGAUUCCGCCCAGAAUAGAUCAAUUCAAAAGGGUUGUCAUGAGAAGGCCAGCACUUCUUCAUGAUAAAACUUUGAGUUCGGUCCAUGACUCUGGGGACCUCUUCUAGAACCCUUUUAACUUAGGGUGACCUUAUGUUAUCAACCUGCAAAGGUUGUUACUAGGUCCCUCCUAGACGAGACUUAUCCCAAAGGCUUACCGUAGGAAGGCUUGCUCUUUCUCAUGGUAAAACAAGGGUAUAAUCAAUUACUCUAGAGCUAUCAUCCUACAAAAACUUUAUAUCCUACAAGUGAGGGGAUUGGGUAGUCUAAGCCUAAAUCUGAUAUAUCAUAAGGAGUCUACCCUUAACUAGGUCAUGCUUGCAUAUUAUCUUACAUGUCUCAAAACUGUUUGGGUUUCCCAUGCCAACUAUUAUCCCUAUCUAUAAGGAACCUUCUUAAACAAGGUGUCCUUAUAUUCGACAUUAUCCUUAAACCCAUAUGUGGGUUCUAUAUCCAUCAUAAUCCCUAAACCUGUGUGGGUUCUCCUAUCAUUCAUUAUCCUAAUGUGACACUUGCAUUGAAUCUAAAAGAAAACCUUUUAGCAUACCUUCAAAGUAAAAAAUAAAAAAUAUUUUUGGAUACCCAUGCAUUUUUGUGCAUUUGCAUACAUACAUAUACAUUUGCAUAUCCUUUCCGCUUUCUCCCCUAUCCAGCUAGCAAGUCUCCCGAUGCUCGCAAAUGAACUUGCCACAUGUCUCAAGAAGUCUUUCAUGGUAAAUUCAGAGAAGGUAACCCUUUUCCUUGCAAGCCACCGACCUAUCCAAUGCUUUAAAUACAACGAACCUGGAUGAUGUCACCGUAACAAGGUCUGCAACAAUAUCUUCUUCGGCUGCAACCCAUGCGCCUCAUUAAUCACAACAAAGGAAGCUUGGAAGGAAAUUGGAUCCUAUACUAACGUCUCAUGACUUAAUUAGAGAUGCCCUAGUAGGACUACAACCGAAUGAUCUCUCUCCUCGUCUAUACCCUAAAGGUCAUUGCGAGAAUGCCAGAUGUGAGCACAAAGUACAAAACCUACAAUUGACUUUCAAAGAAGGAGUCCCAUUGGUGAACGAUCACCCUUACUUUAACAAAGUGCAAGAACAUUAAAAAGCAUCCCCUAAAGAUAGUGGAUCAACAAUGAAGCUCAUCCCUGGGAUCAAAAGACUCUAUCAGUUCCAGUUGUAAUUUCUUUUUUGCUAAGUGGUUUUUGUAUUAAAAGUUGUACUCUUUGGAAAAUAAUUUUAGUAAAAUGAGCAUGCAUGUUUUUGAAAUCAAUCCAUUCAUUUACACUCUUUCUUAUGCCAUCAUGAAAAUAAAAAUAAAAAUCAAUCAAACCUUUUAUUUUCACUUCUCACCUAUUAACAAACUUAUGAGGAGAAUGAAAUAAAAUAACUAAAUUUUGCUGACUAUGCUUUUAAUAGUAAGACCUGGCUGACGAUGUAAGGCAUUGUUUCACUUCCCAAACACUGGAGAAAUAAGGAGAUAAUCCGUAGUCAACCCCCUCGAGCCAGAAGUUGGUGUUUCUUUUUCUAUUCAUAAAAACCCUUAAUAUUAACCAGGGGCAGGGUAGUUUCAAUUAAGUCAAUGAUGCAUUCUAGUCUCAAGAGAACUAUUCCAUAAUCACAUCAGUAAGAGGUUUAAGCAACAUCUUCCUUACACCAUUCAACAUUGAGGAAGCAAUGAGGACAAAGCUCACAAUAGCCACAAGGCAGUCACAACUUUCGAAAUAUCAAAAAAAAAAGAACACAUGAAUUAUUCCGAAAAGAGCCCGCUAAGUCAAAAACUAAAACAGAGUUGACUUAGGCAAAAGGGGCAUCCCGAUGGACCACAAUUCAAAAGAAUUGGUCUGUGCAAAAAUAGGGAGUAAAAAUAUAAAAAAAUAAAAAAUGGAAACAAGCUUGUAGGUGAAAGUAAGUGACUGCCACCUCAAGAAUCUCAUAAGUACUUGAAUCAUUACAUCUACUUCCAUCAUUAUCUAUCAAAAUUCUCUUGCAGAUUAAAUGCAUUUGUUGAAUUAAUUGGAUUUAGGAAUGAAGAUCAUCAAGGAGAAGGGGUGGGUCUUAAUAAAAAUUUGAGCCUUAUAUCUUUUGUUUCAUAAACCGUGAACCAAGCCACGUUAUAACAUUUAAAAGAACCAGGGGCAGGGUAGUUUCAAUUAAGUCAAUGAUGCAUUCUAGUCUCAAGAGAACUAUUCCAUAAUCACAUCAGUAAGAGGUUCAAGCAACAUCUUCCUUACACCAUUCAACAUCGAGGAAGCAAUGAGGACAAAGCUAGGAAUAGCUAACAUGGCAGUCACAACCUUCAAAAUCAAAAGUAAAUAUCACAAGAUUUGUUUCAAAAAAGAAGCCCACUAAGUCAAAAAGAAAACCUAAAAAUUUGACUUAGGCAAAAGUUAGGGCAUCAUGUUUAAAAAAAAGCCCGCUAAGUCAAAAACCAAAACGGAGUUGACUUAGGCAAAAGUUAAGGCAUCCCGAUGGACCAGAAUUCAAAAGAAUUGGUCCAUGCAAAAAUAGGGAUUAAAAAGCAAAAAAAACGGAAAAAAGCUUGUAAGUGAAAGUAAGUGACUGCCACCUCAAGAAUCUUAUCAGUACUUGAAUCAUUACAUCUACCUCCAUCAUUGUCUAUCAAAAUUCUCUUGCAGACUAAAUGCAUUUGUUGAAUUAAUUGGAUUUAGGAAUGAAGAUCAUCAAGGAGAAGGGGUGGGAUAAAAUUAAAAUUUGAGCCUUAUAUCUUUUGUUUCAUAAACCCUGAACCAGGCCACGUUAUAACAUUUAAAAGUCCUAAUUGAAGCUAGGUUCACUAUGAAAGCAUACUCAGCAAAAUCGUUAAACUAACUCCAAAUGUUUGUUAAAUCAUUGAUAACCAUCUUGUUUUAUCAUAUUUUCACAUCUUCAUUUGUGCCAACCUCGUGGCCAGAUAUCAUUUGUAUACACCAUAUCCAUUUUCCAUAACAAUUUUCGAUUUCAGAAACUCGCAUGAGCAUGAUGUUAGAAUUACUUUUCAAAGAGAACAUUUUUCUCACAAAUCAAUACUUAGCAUCAAGGAAAUUUCAGCAAUAGUCUGAUCAAAGGCGAAUAGUUUCAAGACACUAGAGGCAAGUCAUCUAAGGAUCCUUCUAAUUAGGAGAAAAUCCUUAUAAUCAUAGGGGCACAUCAUCUGAAGAUCCUAUUGAUUAGAGGAUAAACCUUUCAAUAUUUGAUACACCUAUGUCAAAACACCCACAUGACCUUAAUAAUCAUGGGAAGACUCUUUCAAGACUCUCAUACUGGGGCAUACCAACUCAGGGGCAUAUUGAGGCCAAUCACUCCAAAAAGUCAUCCAAUCUGGGGCAUACUUUUCAAAGAUUCAAAUACUGGGGCAAUUCAUAUAAAGGUCAUAUCACAGCAUUGUGAGAUCCAAGUUCCUUCUCAGGACACUCCUCCAGACCCUAAUAAUCAGGGACAAACUUUUCAAGAUUUAAAUGUCGGGGUAGUUCAUAUCAAAGUCAUACCAUAGCAUGGUGGGAUCCAAUUUCCUUUUUAGGAAACUCUUUCAAGAAGGCCUACAAAUAAGGGCAAUACCCUCCAAGGCUCAAUCAAUAUGGGACAGACCGCCGCAAGGCUUAAUCAAAAGAAACUGCUCCACAUGGUGGGAUCCAAUUUCCUUUUUAGGAAACUCUUUCAAGAAGGCCUACAAAUAAGGGCAAUACCCUCCAAGGCUCAAUCAAUAUGGGACAGACCGCCGCAAGGCUUAAUCAAAAGAAACUGCUCCAAAAAAUGGUUCAUCAGGGGCAUAUCAUUCUAAGGGUCGAUUAGUCAAAGACGGAUCUCUCCAAGGCUAAAAUUACGGCAUGACGUCUCAAGUGAAUGGUAUGGCUAAGUCACUUCAAAUUCAUAUUGACAUGAAUUUCUUCAAAGACCUAACAGACAGGGGCAACUAUGGGAUACUGCAGGGACAAUCCCUCUCAAUACUUUCAAGAUGCAUGUACAACAUCUAUCAUAGAUCAACAAUCGUCAAGUUUCAAACGGGUAUCGGGAAGCCAUGCUAGCGUAACACCCUACCACCUUUUGACAAAAUAACUUGGUUACACAAAAAACCUCUCUAAUCCCUAACAAUCCACGACCCAUCACAGGGGCACUUGUGGAAACAUUCAAAUCAUUGUCAUGCAUUAAUCAUGUCACUACGCUCUAGCGUCAAACCAUUCAUAUCAUCUCAUUCAUAUAGCACAUUCCCAUAUCAUGAACCUAACAUCUACGCAUGCCCAAUCUUACUUGGCACCACACAAAAGCCUAAUCUUACUUGGCACCUAUAUCAUAAAAGCCCAACCUCAUUUGACAUUCACCCUAAAAGCCCAACUUUGAUUGGCAUCUCACAAAAGCCCAACCUUGCUUGGCACUCAGUACCUAUAAUUGGCCCAAUCUUCAGCGGUGCAGCCCGAGACUAAUACAUCAUGUGCAUCAAUCAUUGCAUUAAUACAUCAUAUCACGCGUAGCAUAUCCAUUAAUGUGGAUCAUUAUACCAUGCAAACACUAAACAUGCAUAAAUGACACAGCAUAGCAUGCAUACAUAACAUAGAUACAUAACACAGACUGAGACUCAAGACUCAUCGUGAGAGUAUGGAUAUCCUCAGCUAAUCGGUGAUAGAUCUCAGUCCAAGCUUCUCUCGAGCUAUUUUUUCAUUGUACACCCAGUGGGUUGGUCUUAAGGAUAAUCCCGCAGUAAGUAUCCUUGGAGCUCAUUUUCCAAGCAGAAAAUACUUAGCAGCAUUGUCCCCAGUAUGCCCUAAUGGUAUACAAUUCCUUCACCAGAUCCUUGCAGGGAUUUCUUAGGGAUUUCUCCAACACCUGCGCUCCUUAGGGAACCUCGCCUGGAAGCAUAUUCCCUAGUAGACAGUUAUCUUACGUGACACCAGUCUUCCCCAUUAGGGACAUUGAGUUCUUUUGUCAAUCUACUUUUAUUCACGUCUUCUUAGAGAACUCCUCAAUAAGAGUUCUAUUACCAUUGUCACUUUGGUUCUUACACCACUGUUCACUUUGGUUCUUACACUAUUUCCACUCAGUCACUUCGGCUCUUACACCGUUGUCACGUACUCACUUUGGUUUUUACGUCGUUUUCAUCCACUCAUUUUGGUUUUUACACUGUUUAUCAAUUCAUUUGUACGGUUUCUUAUACCGUUUGUCAUUUCUGAUUACGGUUCUUCUACCGUUGUUACUUCUUUUAGUUCUUAUACCACUAUCACUACUCUCGGGGUUUUACAACAAUGAUAAUUUAUUUAGCAUUGGUUCUUAUAUCGAGGAUGAUUGAAUUCUCAAUCCCCAACUAUACAAGUAUAACUCCAAGCAAGAAUGCUUAUUGGGCUUCCCCAAUAAGUAACCAUCUCCAUAGAGCCUUUUCAAUAAAGGACUUUCCUAACAAACUCACUCACCGUGAGUCGUCAAAGAAAUCUAUCUAGUAAUCGAUCAUCCUGAAUGAUCGUUAUCAACUAUUGAGCGGGUAUUCACCUCUUACCUCUCAAGCUUAUUAACCUAUCCCACACAAGGGAUAUGUUCCAUCAAAUGCACCAGGGUUUUAUCAAAGGGUUACACCGGGGUUUUUCAAGGGGUUCCACCAAGGGUUUCAUCAAAGAGUUUUUACCAGGAGUUCCAUUAGGGGUUUCAUCAAAAGUAUAAAGGAUUUUCAUCAAUGGGUUCUAUCAAGGGAUUUUAUCAAAGGAGUUUUAUCAAAGAGGUUCAAUCAAGGGGUUUUCAUCAGAGAUUAUUCGCCGAGGGUUCACUAGGGUUUUACCAAGAAGUUUCAACAAAGUGUUAAUAUCAAAGGGGUUUCAUCAUGGAUUUAUCAAAGGGGUUUCACCAGAAUUUUUUAUCAAAGGGUGCCGCCAGAAUUUUAUCAAGGGAUUUUAUCAAAAGGAUUUUUUCAAGGGACUUUAUCAAAAGGGUUUAUCAGGAAUGUCAUCAAAAGAUUCCAUCAAGGGGUUCUUCCAGAAUUUUACCAAGGGGUUUCAUCCAGAGUGAUCGGGGUAUCAGUAGAGUACUACCCAAUUCCCGUAAAAUGAUCGGAUGAUCAUGGGAAUCAUAUGCCAGUUUCACCUGGAAGGGUUAAGAUUGAUCAAAAAGGGUUUCAUCAAAGGUAUUAAGGGUUUCAUCAUGGUUUUAUAAANCCUUACUUAACUGACUCCCGAACCCAGUAUCUCACCUUUAACUUAUAGGUUUUAUCAUUAUUUCCCUGUUCCUUAGGAACGAAUAAAGGAUGGUGGCGACUCUGUCAUUUUUCCAGCCGCAACAAAAGGUAAAUUCGGGCCCUUAUGGGGUCCGACCCGGAAAUUACAAAAACUGGCUCAAACUAACUCUUUUAAUUAAGUCUAAAACUUCAACGAAUUAUUCGAUCCUCCUUCACUUCGAAUCAUAUUUUGACUUCAACAUGAAACGUGUAUCUCUUUCUCUUAGAUUUCCAACGCAUAUUAGAACGCAUCAAUCUGAUUCUCGUAGGUUAAGUUAUGGUCUGUAUAGUAACAAGGUAUCAAAUAACUGUUUAUGCUGAAAAUAAAGUAGGAAAAUAAAAUAAAAGCAAAAAUAAACUUAAAUAUAAAAACACACUAAAAUAGUAAAAAUAAUAGAAUAAACUAUAGAAAUGUCUAAGUACAAUUAUAGAAGAAUGUGCAUCAAAAUGCACUGAUCAAAUCCCCCCACACUUGAACUUUUGCACUCCGAGCAAAAUUACAAUUUUAAAACAAAAGGAAAGAAAACAGAGCAUGCACUUCCAAAAGUUUUCAAGAUAUAAGGUACAAGCAGAAUUCUAAGUCUAAGCUUCAAGAAUAUGGUAUUAGUAAGCAAUUUUUUGUGACAUUCAAAGCAGAUAGGAAAACAGAUUAUCAAAGAGUACAUCAAUAGCAGUAAGAUCCUUACAGAAUAAAAUUCACUCAACUCUCAAGUGUUUAGAUUAAUUGUUUACACUCAAAGCACAACAUGAAAGUUAGUACUACCAUAAGCUUGAAAAAACUCUAACAUCCACAAUUGAAAUACGUGCACACAAAGAUCAAAAGGACUUUUAUUUGGUUGUAAUGUGGCCAAGGUAAGGGUGAGAUAAAUCCUAAGGGGUACUAGGCUAAAAUUCAAAGAGACAAAAGAGACUUAAAAGAAACUGCGGGAGUUGAAUUUAUAAAAUAUUUGAUUCACUUCAACAACUCUAUAGUAACUGUUUUCAAUCAUAUUUUUCUUCUCCUUUCUUUUUCUUUUUUUUUUCUUUUCUUUUCAUAAGGAGUAUGUAUUGACAUGUAUACAUCCUUCUAUUUUUUUUCAUUCAUUUUUUUUUUCUUUUCUAUUUUCUUUUUCUACCAAAAUUACGAAUAUUACAAACAUAAUUAUUCGACCCCACGCAACUCCAAACAAGACUCUUUCAACCCUUUAAAUAAGGUGAUAACAUUGUUUUUCACUUCUCGAUUUGUAACGAGUUUUAAACAAAAAAAGGAUAAUAGGCUCAAGGGGGUUUCAAACAAGGGAUGAUAUUAUUUCAGGGUUGGAUUUUUGAAUAACUGGCUAAAAAACAAAAAAUAAAAUUGUCUUUAUCAUAUUAGUGUGCACAAGUUAACAACAACAUCAACAAGAGUCAAUUCAAGUUCUAGAGACUAAUAAACAUGAGUAAAUCACACAAGAAAGAAAGAGAUGGAUUUUUGUAUGUUAUCCAUAGAAAGCUCAAAACCUCACAAGGUUAAUUGAUCUACCACAAAUGAUGUACGCUUUAGAAUUUAGUCCUACCUAUCAUACUAAAAAUGCACAACCAAAUCUUUCACAUCACAUCAUAAUACUUUAGUCAAAAGAAUAAGAAAAAUACUCAUAAUUGUAACUCAAAAACCAAGGAAAAAGCAUGAUUUUUUUUUAUUUAGCAACUAAAAACCAAAAACAGAGAAAAAAUGAAAAACAAAAUAAACAAAACAAAACAAAUAAAUGGUUCGCUCCCCCAUACUUAAAACAUACAUUGUCAUCAAUGAAAGACCAUAAAUAUAAAAUAAGAACGGGAGAAAGAAAAGAGCACACCUGAGGAGUCAAAGCGGAUAAAUGAUCACAUAAGCAGCCUUUCCCAAAGAGAGCUCUUCUACAGCCUUUUCUUCCAAAGUCGAGUUCUCAUGGAGUAGAUUUGGAUAGUGUCCAUUGAUCUUGAAAUUUUGAUUAGUGUAAUCGCUUUGUAUUCUAGGAUCAAAGAAGAAUCUUCUAUAAGUAAAAGUGUUGAAUGGGCACAUGAAAGUGAUCUUCUUUUUCACAACAUCAAGAAUCAAAGGAUUACGGGGCUGCCUCACUACUUUUAUUUCAUCUUUAAGUGAGAUCUUAUACAUACAUAUGGAUGGGCUAAUAUCACGAGUGUCAGCCAAGGUCCAUCCAAUUCCCUUCUUAUGUUUCUGCUUAAGUUGAAGCUUUGAUGAAUAAUAUGAAUCCUCGGGAAGUGGUUUAGGCUCUAAAGAAGGCGAUUGUUUAAUGGAUGGUAUGUUUGGGGCAGCCAGGAUGUCGAGAGCUUCAACUGCAUAAACAACUUCAUCGAUAAACUCACCUGUAGGAAAAAAUGUUACCCUGCAAGGCAGCAUCAAUCUCAGCACAUACAACACAAAGGUUAGUGUCAGUACAAUCAUCACAUGAAUAAACAUCAUCAAACCCAGAUAGAGAUGGAAAAUCAAGUGAAAACAAUUCUGAAAAAGUGUCAUCAACCAACUCAGAGAUCAAUUCAAUAUGAAAAAUGGAAUGCUCCUCCAAGGGAUAUUUCAUGGCAUCGAAAAUGUUAAAUUUCGCGACAAUGUCACCAAAUUCCAUGGACAUGGUUCCAUCUUCAACAUCAAUUUUUGUUUUCGCCGUUUUCAUGAACGGUCUGCCAAAAAUUAUGGGCGAUUUGCUUGAAUUUGUUUCUCCAUACAUGUCCAGAAUAUAAAAAUAUGCAGGAAAAAUCGAGUCAUUAACUUGAACAAGCACAUCUUCCACUACUCCAAUAGGGCGAGCAUUGCUUCUGUUCGCCAGUUGAAUGAUUAAACUUGUAUGCUGCAAAGGACCAAGAGCAAGGUUAUUAUAAACAGAAGUAGGCAUAACAUUAAUGUCUGCUCCUAAAUCAAGCAUUCAAUUUUCGAAUUUACUAUCCCCAAUGGUACAAGGAAUAGCAAAAGUUCCUGGAUUCUUGCACUUUUGUGGCAUGUCCUGAGUGAGGGUUGAACUGGUAAGUGAAGUGUUGGGUUGAAUAAGCGCCGAAACAUUUGUCCCAAAUUCGCUCUCUCAUUUUCGGUAGGCCUCCUCUUGUGAGUGUACAAGUCCUUCAAAAUUUUUUCAUAUUUCGGGACCUUCUUAAUCACAUCAAGUAGUGGAAUGUUCACUGCCACCUUUCUGAAUACAUCCAAAAUCUCUCUCUUUUUGUCUUCCUCAUCAAUAUUCUUAUUUUUCAUAACUCUUCGUGGAAAAAGGAUUGGUGGUACAUACUCUUUUUCAGCCUCAACAACAAUAGAAGGUUCAGAUGUUGCACUAACAAUUUUUUUAUUUUUUUCUAGGGCUGUUUCUGCAACUUUUCCGGAUCUCAAGGAAAUUGAACUCACAUUGGGAACUUUUGGAUUCACUAUUGUUUGGGCAGGUAGUUGGUUCGAUCCUUAGGCUUGCUGCAUGGCAUUCAUUGAAGUGGGAAGCUGUUCAAUCUGUGUCUGGAAUGUCUGAAUAUGGGAAUUUGUUUGUUGCUGAAAUUAGAGAUUGUUCACAGCCAUUUGCUUGACAAGAUCCUCAAGUGAAGGUCUGAAAGGUAUAAAGGUGGUUACUUGGGGAGGGUUGUAGUAGUGGUGGCAGGGGUAUCAUCAAUUGUUUCACUAAAAAGGUAAGUUCAUCAAGUCUGGUUUCUAGAGCUUUGUUGGAAGAAUAAAUCUGAAUCUCAUUCACACCUUUUGCUUUGACCAUAAAAUUGUCCCUUGUUGUGAAAUGUUGGGAGUUGAGUGACAUGUUCUCAACCAAGGAUUUGACAGUAGCUGGAGUCUUAUCAACAAGUGCUCCACCACUAGCAGCAUCUAAAAUGUUUCUUUCCAUUGAUAGUAAUCCCUCAUAAAAGUGUUGUAUUAACAAUUGUUCAGAAAUCUGGUGGUGAGGACAACUCGACACUAACGACUUGAAUCUCUCCCAGUAUUCGGCCAAUGAUUCCAUGUCAACGUGACUAGUACUAAAUAUUUCUUUUCUGAUAGAAGAAGCUCUUGAAGCAGGGAAAAUCUUUCUAAGAAUAUUUUCUUCAUAUUAUUCCAACUUGUAAUAGAAUUUGGCUCAAGAUAAUAUAACCAAUCUUUUGCAGCACCUUGUAGUGAGAAUGGAAAUGCUCUAAGCUUGACAUGAUCUUCGGUAAUUCCUUGAGGCCUCAAUGGUGUAGAACACACAACCUGAAAUUCUUUUAGAUGCCUAUGUGGAUCCUCUCCUGCAAGACCACUAAACCUUGGCAACAAGUGUAUUAAACCAAAUUUCAAUUCGAAAGGUACAUUAGCAACAGGAUAUUCAAUACAUAAAGCAUUAUAAUUAACAUCAAGGGUAACAAGUUCUCUCAUAGUUCUUUGGUCAGCCAUGUUAAACUCGAUAGAAAAAAAAUCAACAAACAAUAAGAAAACACUAACUAAUUCAGCAAUGCAACAACAAAUAGGAAAAUACCGACAAUGUCCCUAUUAAGAAAAAAACAAUUGAAAUACGGAAAAAACUAUUAAAAUAAAAAGAAAAAAAUACAAAAAUACAAAAAUUAAUCUAAUAACAUCAAUUAAGAAUUUUGAGAAUUUUUUAGGAAUUUUCUGAAACUACCAAAACAGAAACAAAAUCAUAAAAAAUAGAAAAAUAAGGAAUUUCGGUUUCUUAGGGCGGCGUCCACUAUUUAGUUCCUAAGUAGAGGUUUUAGAUCCUUGAUUUUUUCCUAAUGAAUAGACAAAAAAUAUGAAUAAUUUGAGACGAUUUUUUUUAAAAACAAAUUUUUUAUCCUAAAACGCGAAAAGAUCAGAACGCAAGAAAGUUAGGGAAAAAAUGAUAAAACACAACACCUAUGACUAUAAUAAUGGUUAGACUAUAAUAAUGGUUAAAAUCUACAAGAGUCCCUGGCAACGGCGCCAAUUUGAUCCGCUGUUUGACACGGGUCAAAAAUGAGUAAUAAAAUAUAAUAAACGGGAAGCAAAACCUCGAGUAUCGUAUCACAUGGACUUUUGGAAAAUUAACCAAAUAAGAAAACAAAAUAGGGGAUUUCGAUUCGAUUAAAAAUAAGUGAUUAUAAAAUGUGAUUAUAGAAAGUGAUUAUAAAAAGUGAUUAUGAAAUAAGUCGAUCUACUGGUUUGGUUUCCUAACUUAUCAUUGGUUAAUAUAAUUUCCAUGCCCUCAGCAGAUUCUAAUCCCUUUUCGAUUAUAGUAACAAUAACAAGCGCAUUGAUACUAAUAUAUGAUAUGUGUUCCUAAUUUCUGAAUUAAGCAAACAAAUUCUGAAUUAAGCAAACAGGUUAAGCACACACGAAUUAAGCAAACACGAUUAUGGAACAUAUAUCAAUCAAAAUUAAUCAACACAUACUAUAUAGAGCUUGAACAAAGCAUACAAGACAUAGAAUAAAAUAUUGAAAGGGAAAAGACAUUUGAUUGAAAAUUAAGAAACCUCAAAGUAUCGGCGGAAACCGAUUACAACAGAUCAACCUUGUGAAUUUUAGUUCUCCAUGAAAUAUUCUAAGCAAUAUUGCAUCAUCAAAAUUCAGAAUAUGAUUACUAUAGUAGUGAAAGACCUAAUAUAAUAAAAGGUAAAUUUGGGGGUCUUAUGGGGUCCGACCCGAAAAUUACAAAAAUUGCUCAAACUAACUAUUUUAAUUAAGUCUGAAACUUCAACGAAUUAUUCGACCCUCCUUCACUUCUAAUAAAAUUUUGACUUCAACAUUAAACUUGUAGAUAUUUCUCUUAGCUUUCCAACACAUAUUAGAACGCAUUAAUCUUAUUCGUGUAGCUUAUGUUAUGGUUUAUAUAAUAACAAGGUAUCAAAUAACUGUUUAUGCUGAAAAUAAAGUACGAAAAUAAAAUAAAAGAAAAAAUAAACUUAAAUAUAAAAACACACUAAAAUAGUAAUAAAAAAAUAAACAAUAGAAAUGCCUAAGUAUAAUUAUAGAAGAAUGUGCAUCAAAAUGCACUGAUCACUAACACUUGACUAACUUUUGACUAACUCUUGUUAAUAUUGCUUUACUUUCAAGUCAUUUACUAUUAUGCAAUUUAAAUUUUAGUCAUUUAUCAUUCAUUGCCAUUUACAUUUCAUAUAACUUGUUUAUCUUUAUGUCCUUUUCACUUUGCUCAUUUGAGCCAUAUCUUGUGAUUGUAUAUAUUGUUUGUGUGUUUUGAUUUUGUUUGUGGUCUUAGGACCUUAAAAUACCUAAUAACAAGCCUUGAGAAUUUCUUGGGUUCAUCUGCUACUCUGUUUUUAUGCUUAAUUGUUAUUUUGAUCUUGUGUCUGAUGUAUUGUUCUAAGUUGAUCAAGGGAUAUUUCAUCUGGUACAUUGAAAGACAAUGAAGACUGCUAGCUAUUUGAAUGCUUGCUUGGAUGUGGCCCCUAAUCUUUAUGAUGUCUGGAUAUUUCUUAUUGCUUAUGCUUAUUGCUUAAUCAAAGUCCAAGCGAAAAUGAGUUUCUAUAUGACAUCAUUGUCUGUUGGAUUGCAUCCCAUUGGUCAGAUUUUUUCAACUCUUAACUUUUAAUUGUUUGCUUAGGGUAGUCUCUUCAUCUUCUCCCACUUCUUAAAUUUCAAAAUCUCUCACUCUUUUCAAAACCUUUCUUUGCUUGUGAUUUCAAACUUAUACAUGUCGUAAUGGUUAGAAACUUUGGCCUUAUGCCAUUGAAUUUUCAAACUUUUUCUUAAAUCAAAUUUGUAAAUAAACUUAACCAUAUUGACUUGAAUUUCAAAAGACAAAAAGAACUAAAAACCUCAUUCAAAUUUUUGGGCAUUUGUGCCUUUUUUUAUUAACUUUUGUUAAAAGCAAUUCACCAACUUAUUUAAAUUUUUUACCAUAAACUACGAGGUUUUGAUCCCUUUUUUUAUGUUGGUACGUAGGCACAAGGUCGAAGAUCUUGUCAAACACAAAAAUAUAAACAAUGAAUUCUUUUAUCAUCCCCCACUCUAUUUUUAUCAAACAUCUUUUAUACCAAAAACACAUGCACACAUAAAAAGGGCUCCCUAGGAGUACCUAAGACACUUUGGGUGCUAACACCUUCCCUCUAUGUAACCAACCCCUUUACCUGUAAUCUCUGGCAUUUUAUUAGUUUUGAUUUGAAAACUUCUUAUCUUUGGGUUUUGUUCAUACUUUUCCAUUUUCCUUUGGAAACAGUAAAAGCGCGGUGACGACUCUGGUUUUAUUGACGUUAAGCUUAUCCAUAGCUUGAUGGUCAUGAAUUUACCGUUAUAGAAAUUAAGUGGCGACUCUGCUGGGGAGUAAUCCUCAGUGGGUUUAGCCUAUUUUUUUAUGUGUAUAUAUGUGUAUAUUUUAUGUUUGUAUAUUGUUUGCAUGAUAUAACAUGUCUAUUGUGCUUGGUGAUCUCUGAGUGGUGAGAUAAGUUCUAACUCGAACUUGAGUGCAAUUAAGACUGGAGGAUGGUAUAAUCAUGUUCAACUUGUAUGGAGUAGUCCUUAACAAGUUGGCUUGAGACCCAUUUACUCAGUGGAAACCCUUUUGGAGUUAUUGAUGUCACACAACUCAUUUAUGGAUAGGCAUUAUUUUCUCUAAUUUGGGGUCCGAGAAGCUGAGGACCGUAGAACAUUUAACCCAACUUGGCCUAUUUAGGAUGUAGUGUGGAGACUGUUCAAGUGUAGACUUGAUAAUAGUUGUUACGCGAUACUACACUCAGACGAGUUUCUCUUGAGAAUAUUAUGGGUUGAUAAGUCAGUCAUCCUAACCUAUAAUAUCCGAUAGAUGGGAUUAAGACUCUGGGAACUUUUUAGAACACGGUCUACAGGUUUUUAUCCUUAGUACACUCCUUUGGGAUGGUUCUUAACCUGACUUCAUGCUCGUGACUCACAACAAACCCUUUGGUUCUCGGUUGAACCGAUCAAGUCUCGUCAAUAUAAAUGGAACUUGGGUGUUGAUAAGUUGAAAACCAUAAUCCCCUAAAAUGGAUGAUUGAUCUUGAUGAUGACAUGAUCCAUCCCUUGACCUUUGUGUGUGUUUACCUUGUGUGUGAUCCCUUGUUUGUGAUUGUUGCGUUCAUGCAUACAUGCGCAUCAUGACAUUCAUCACAGAAAAGUAAAUUUCAAGGAAACUAAGGUCUCAUUUGCAAAUAUUUCCAGACUAUGGAUUAUGGACGAAGGAACACUAAGAAGUAUAGUUUCAGAUGUCCUGAUUUGAAAGAAAUAAGGAAAUUUUCAUCCUUUGUAUUAGAUCCCUUGGACUUCAAGCAACGUCAUGGGAAGCUUUUGUCAAUAUUAUCUGCUGAUGUGGUUGAGGGACUCCUGAGUGUCUUUGUCCAAUUUUAUGAUCCUAUUUACUGGUGCUUCAUGUUUCCCGAUUAUUAGCUUGUACCUAUGUUAGAGGAGUAUGCCCAUCUCCUGAGAGUACCCGCAUCUGACAAGGUACCUUUUAGUGGAUUAUAGGAGAUUGUCAGAUCUCAUAUCAUAGUUGAAGCUCUCCAUCUGAAGAAGUCUGAGAUUGAUGUUCAUUUGGUGAAGAAAGAAGGCAUUCUUGGUUUGACUUUUGAGUUCCUCAUUGGAAAAGCUAUUGUCUCUGCUCAAGCCGAUAGUAUGGAUGCUUUUUAAGCCAUCUUUGUUUUGCUCAUCUAUGGUUUAGCUUUGUUUCCUAACAUUGACGGUUUUGUUGAUGUUAACGCCAUCAGAAUCUUCUUGAUUGGGAAUCAUGUUUCUACUCUGUUGGGUGGCAUGCAUUUCUCUUUGCAUUUGAGGAAUUCUAAAGGAGGUGGGACUAUUGUGUGUUGCGUUCCUCUUCUGUACAAGUGUUUUAUUUCGCACUUGCCUCAGACACUUGCUUUUUUGGAGAACAAGCAAUGUCUACGGUGGUCUCAGAGACUUAUGUCUCUCACUAAUGAUGAUAUUGUUUGGUAUGAUUCUGCAUUGAGUAGCUUGGAUAUUAUUGAUAGUUGUGGUGAGUUCUCAGCAAUGUCUACGGUGGUCUCAGAGACUUAUGUCUCUCACUAAUGAUGAUAUUGUUUGGUAUGAUUCUGCAUUGAGUAGCUUGGAUAUUAUUGAUAGUUGUGGUGAGUUCUCUAAUGUGCCUCUCAUUAGUACACAAGGAGGAAUCAACUACAACCCAACAUUGGCCCGUCGUCAACUUGGGUUCCCCUAGAGAGAUAAACAUAAUAACACUCAGUUAGAAGGUCUGUUUUAUCAAGAAGGUAAAGAUCCCCAACAUUUGAAGUAAAGGAUGGUGCAUGCUUGGCAUAAUAUGCAUAGGAAGGGAAUAUCCGAGCUUGGUCCAUGCAAUUGUGUAGCUUUGGAAGCUUACACUAUUUGGGUGAAGAAGAGAGCUUUGGAGCUGAAGAUGUCGUAUGCUUGUGAAAGACAUAUGUCUAUGGUUAUGGAUGAGCCAUCAACUCUUCUCAACUAAGAUGCAGAGGAGUUGGAAGACGCACUCAUCAAGAUGAAGUAAUAAAAAGAUAUGUGGAAAGAGCGGUUCCAUGCUUUGAGCUGAAAGCAUGAAGAGUUGCAGCUUGAGUCGAAAGACACAGAUGUGCUUAUUGAGAUUCUUGAAGACCGAGCAAUGAAUAGAGAGAGAGAGCCAGAGGGUUCAUCUUCCUCUAGCAUGCCUCAACCUUUCGGUGCUUGGAAGAAGAUUGUUGAUCAGUUAGUUCUUGAGAAGGCUCAGAUGAAGACAUCCUUUGAGCCUGAGAUUCGACGCAUCCGAAGGAAGUAUGAACCCAUAGCCAGUCAUCCAGUACAGCUGCUAAGGGAUCCUUAGGAACACAAUUUCCUUUUCUCUUGUAUUUAUACUUUGGUUUCUGAAAUUGUACUCAGUAUGAUCCUUCCAAAUUUUAUGAAUAAAAAGAGAUUUUGUAAUCAAUCAAAUUGUUAUUAUUGUUAUAUAGGACUUCAUAUGUUCCUUGAAAUUAAAAACAAUAAAAAACAUUGCAUUUCAUGCACCAUUUGCAUAAUAGGUUUCUUCCUCCAGAUGUCUUAUCAGUUCUUCUUCUGUGCAUCAGCCAAGAUGACUCACCAAUAUAAUUCUCGCGUUAACCAACCGAAGAGAAUGGAGCAUCUAGAGAAAGAGUACCGGGAGCUGAAGGAAGAGAUCACCAGACUUACGACACUGAUGGAAUCUGUGAUUGUCGCCCAAAAUCAGUCAUCACCAACUCCUGUAACUCCUCCUCCUCCAAGGACUGUCAUUUUUGAGGUUGCUUCUGCAACUGUUCCUGUUGUUGCUGCCAAUCAAUCCAUUCCUUCUAUGCCUGCUGGAUUCCCUUGGGAAAUGCCAUCAAAUUUUAUGCCAUAAGGGUAUGCGCCCACAUUUGUUUCUCUGUCGGCAUCUAGCCCGGUCAUGUUAGUGCCACCUCUGGUUGUUCACACUCUCCCUUGUGUUGAGGACACUAUCUACCAUUCCGAGAUGUCUGAAGGUCCAAACGUGUAUGAGAAAAUGGAUGUAAUGAAAGGUCAAUUCCUCGAGCUUCACAAAGAGUUAAAGACUCUUAGAGGGAGAGAUUUGUUUGGGAAGAGUGUUGUUGAACUCUGCUUGGCCCCCAAUGUUAAGAUCUUGGUGAAAUUCAAGGUCCCAAACUUUGAAAAGUACAAAGGGAAAACUCGCCCACUAAGCCAUCUUGUUAUGUAUUCCAGAAAAAUGUCUACUCAGACUGAUAAUGAUCAGUUGCUGAUUCACUAUUUCCAAGACAGUUUAGCUAGAGCUGCCUUGAGGUGGUACAUGGGUUUGGACAAUGCAAGCAUCCGUACUUUCAAUGACUUAGGCGAGGCCUUUGUCAAGCAGUAUAAGUACAAUAUGGAUAUGGCGCCUGAUAGAGACUAGUUGAGGUCUAUGUCUCAGAAGGAUAAAGAGACAUUCAAAGAAUAUGCCCAAAGAUGGAGAGAACUGGCUGCCCAGAUAAGUCCACCUCUUGAAGAGAAGGAAAUGACAAAAAUCUUCUUAAAGACAUUGAGUUUGUUUUAUUAUGAACGUAUGAUUGCGAGUGCCCCUAAUGAUUUUACCGAAAUGGUAAACAUGGGGAUAAGGCUAGAAGAAGGAGCCCGUGAAGGACGUUUGUCUAAAGAAGAGGCAACAACCAACAAGAAGUACGGUGGUAGUUUCUCCAAGAGGAAGGAAGGAAAAGCUAAUUUAGUGUCAAUAGGGAGGCAGAGGAGGCCUCAUGUCAGAAAAAGUUCUCAACCUCGUCAACAUCAACAUCAAGUUCCCUCAGUAAUUCCAAUUUUUUCCAACAAUUCUAAUCAAUCAGUUCCAAUUCAGCAACAACAUCAGCAACAACCGCAACAAAGAACCAACUACAACAACAACAAUAAUCACCAACAAAACUUUGAGAGGAAGAAGGUCUCCUUUGACCCUAUUCCUAUGACUUAUGCAGAGUUAUACCCAUCAUUGGUCCUCAAGAAUCUAAUCCAUCCAAGAAAUCCUCCGCAAUUUCCUGAGCCCCUACCAUGGUGGUUCAAGCCUGAUCUUCAUUGUUCUUUUCACCGGGGAGCCCCUGGUCAUGAUAUAGAGAACUGAUAUCCAUUGAAAUAUGAAGUUCAGAAGCUGAUAAAGAGUGGUAUGGUGUCCUUUGAGGACAGAGCGCCAAAUGUGAAAGCCAAUUUGUUGCCUGCUCAUGGUAACGCUUCUGUCAACAUGGUGGACGGUUGUCCAAGGAAUUUCCGAGUUUUUGAUGUGAGGCGUAUCCGAAGAUCUCUGGUGGAGAUGCAUAAUACUUUAUGUUUAAUCAAUGACUUUGAACAUGACCAUGAUGGUUGUGUCAUUUGUAGCACGAAUCCCUGUGGGUGUAUGAUUGUCAAGAGGGCUAUCCAGAAGUUGGUGGAUGAGAAUGUAGUCCAUAUUUAACAGUCGAGGGAUAUGAGAGAUGAUGUGAAUCUCAUUGUACCAGUGUUUAAGACCCCUGAGCGGGUAGUUAUUCAGUUUGAUAGUAGCAGCAACAAUAAUGUCAAUAGAUCGAUAUCGAUGUUAGUUAUACAGUUGGCGGGCCCUGUCCCCUACUCAUCCGAUAAAGUUGUGCCAUAUCAAUACAAUACCACUAUGAUUGAAAAUGGUCAAGAGGUUCCUCUACCAAUUACAGACUCAGUGGUGAAUAUUGUAGAUAUUGCAAAGGUGACCCAUAGUGGUUGUGUGUUCAGUCCAGUGUUUCCAAAAGAAGUAGAAGAUGUUUCAGUAAGUAAGAAGGCAGAGAUUUCAGUAGUGAAUCCAGUUAGUGCUCCAAUUUGUCAGUCUAGUGAAUCUAGUAAAUUGAAGGCUAACAAUGAUGAUGAGGUGUUAAGAUUAAUCAAGAGAAGUGAAUUCAAUGUUGUAGAGCAGCUACUCUAGACGCCGUCGAAGAUUUCUAUAAUGUCAUUGCUAAUGAAUUCUGAAGCGCACAGGGAGGCAUUGCAGAAAGUGUUGGAACAGGCCUAUGUUGAACAUGAUGUUACCGUGGAUCAGUUUGACCACAUAGUUGCCAACAUUACUUCUUGUAAUAAUUUGAUUUUUUAUGAUGAAGAUGUAAGAACAAAAAUUGUUCUACAACAGAUUCCAUGAUUUUGAUGAUAACAAUGGAUGAAACCAAAAAUGGCACCCUAACGAAAUGUUUCUAAGUGUGCAGGGUUCUAAGGAAAGAAGGAAGAGAUCUGAUGACGUCAUCAGAUACAUAAUCAUAUCAGAACACAAAAUCUACAGAAGAUCAGCAUCUGAAUAGAACACACUCAAAAAGUUCUAACUCUGAGCACAAACAGCGAAUACAGAAGCAUCUGAAGAAAGAAGUGCACUCUAGAAGUUCUGACUCUUAACAACGGUAUAUCAUUCCAGAAGCUCUCAGCGUCAUCUGAAGACCCAUCAGAACUCUUUAAGAUAAACAUCAGAAGCUCCGAUCAACACAGCAGGAUUCCAAGAUUCCCAGAAUCACGCAGACUUGAUAAUGGAUUUCCUAAUACAGAAAAGUAACGUUAACUUCAAAUUCAAAUGAAAGGAACUAUAUUUGGAAAGAAGUUAUUCGGGGAGACAAAUGUUUUGGCAAGAAACAUAGAAGUUAUGGCAUUAAUUCCUAUUCAAGACAUAUUAUCUGCCAUCAAUUUCAACGGUCCUUUCACUCCUAUAUAAAGGACAGCAAUCAACAUUGAGAGGCGCGCAAGCAUACACCUGAAACAUUCUCUCUCUCUCUCAAUAUUCACAAGCUUUUGCUUAGAACGUGAAACACUCUUUUGCUUACUGUUGUAAUAUUUGCUUAUCUUAGAAGCACUCUAGAUUACAUAGUCUUUUUUCUAUUGUUUUAUUUCCUCAAGUGACUCUGUGCAGUCUGUAUACUUGAGAGGACUAAGAUCUUCUUCUUAGACGUGGUUGUUAACAAUCUUCAAGAUUAGUGGAUUAAGUCCUUGUUGAAGGUGAAAUCACCUUGGCCGGGUGGACUUGGAGUAGCUUUGUGUUAUAAGCGAACCAGUAUAAAUUCCUUGUUGGUCUUUAUUUUGAAAAAGCGCUUAUUUUCCAAAACAAUUCAAACCCCCUUCUUGUUUUCUCACCUUCAAUUGGUAUCAGAGCGCUCUGUUAUUGAUUUUCAAUCAAACACUUAACAUGUAGAGAGAUCCAGAACGAGAAAAACUAUGCCCACACAAAUGAAAGAGACAGUUACAAUGCUAAGCCUCCUUUUGAUGGAGAGAAAUUCGACUACUGGAAAGAUAGAAUUGAAAGUUUCUUCUGGUUAUGAUGCUGAUCUCUGGGACAUUGUCACAGAUGGACACACACUCCAGUCUCAGAAAAUGAGUUGAAGUUCCCAGAAGUAAAUGUCAGGAGAUCAGAAGCGGUGUCUUCAAAAAUCACCACAAGGCCACAUACUUCUCAAUGCUAUAUCUUACAACGAGUAUGAAAAGUCACCAACAGAGAAACAACCACAAGACAUACUUGACUCUCUGAAGAUGACUCAUGAAGGAAACUCCAAGUCAAAGAGACAAAGGCUCUGGCGCUUAUCCAGAAAUGAAGCUUUCAAAUGGAAGAUGACGAACCAUAGAGUAAUGUUCUCUAUAUUCCAAACUCUAAUUGCAGGUCUCAAAGUUCUAGACAAAUAUACACAACGCAGACCACGUCAAAAGAUAGUCAGAAGUUUGCCAAAAAGUGGAACCCAUGUUACUCCCUGAAGCUGUCAAAGAUCUGAACAAUAUCAGUCUUGAAAAACUUGUCAGUUCCCUCAGAAGCCAUGAGAUAGAACUAGAGGAAGAUGAGCCUCAGAAAAAGAACAGUCUGUAGCAUUAAAGUCCAGAUCUGAAAGACGCAAAUCUGACAGAACCAAAGCUUUCCAGGCAAAACUGAAGACGCUGAUGACUCUGAACCAGAAGAUUCUGAUGAUGAAAAAUUGUCCCUCCUGACCAGAAGAGUAAACAACUCUGGAAAAGAGGAACACCUUCAGAACCAAGACCCAGAGGGGUCAUCAAAUCAACCUCAAAGAUUAAAACUAACAAAGAUAUUACUUGUUAUGAAUGUUAAAGAAACAGGUUCACUACAAAUGAAUGCCAAGCUAAAGAAAGACAAUCCCAGAAAGAAAGUUUCAAAAAAAUACCUUCAGGACAAAGAAAGGACUAAUGGCUACCUGGGAUGAUAGUGAAUCUGGUUCAUCAGAAUCUGACUCUGAUGAACAGGCCAAUGUGGCAUUUAUGGCUACCACAUCCAGAAGCAGCUCAGAUGAAGAAUCUGAAGAGGUUUUUCUGAACUCUCUCGAUCUGAUUUAGAAUCAUGCUUGUCAGAAACUCUUAGUUCAUAUCAGAAAUUAAAACAAAGUUUAAAAAUAUAAAGCUGUCUUGAAGCAAAUUUGAAGAAUGUGGCAAACUUGAGAUGACAAUUCUAGCACGAGAAGAUAAAAUCAGAUCUUUAACAUUAGAAAAGAGAUGGAAAAAAAAAAAUGUUUAGAAUUGGAAGAAGUUGUCUCAAGCACCACAAACCUCAAAUACAAUAAUUUAUAAAUACGAAGAAAGCUUUCAAGAAUUUCUAAAAAUGGAUAGGAAGGAGUGUUAUGGCAUCCAUGAUUUAUGGAGUCAUCAGAACAAUAAAAAGGGAAUUGGGUAUGAUCCUAAGAAGAUAAAACUUCUACUGGUGAUCAACUUAAAUUCUCCAUUUCAUAUCACUAUAUCACACACAAGAACAAAUUUGAAAAUGCUUAAAACCCAAAGUUAUAAGAAACUCUGGGAAAACUAAUCGAAAGGACCCAGAGACUCUGGGUACCAAAAAUAAGAUUGUUUAUGUUGCAGAUAUCCUAUGCAGCAAAGUUCAGACACCUCAUGGUACCUGGACUCUGGAUGCUCGCGACACCAUACGGGGAAAAGUAUGUUUCCAAAGCCUGGAACUUAAAGACGCUGGAUUCGUAAGCUUCGGAGGAGAUCAGAAGGAAGAUCAGAGGUCCGGAACUAUUCGUAAUGUACUCUUCCCUCUAUAUAUUGAUGUUCUUUUGUAGAAGGAUUAAUGCAUAAUUUUAUCCAUAAGUCAAUAGUCUGAUAACGGUUAUGACUGAUCUUUAUCAAAAAAUGUAAAGCCAUAAUCAAACAAUGGUUCAUCCUAUUCACAGGCAAGAGGAAACAAUAUUUAUUAAAAUUAAUAUUUCAGAUUUAAAAGAACAAAAUGUUAAAUGUCUGAUGUCUGUUCACGAAGAGCAAUGGGUAUGGCAUAGACGCUGGCCACAUUAGCAUGAGAAAACUAUCUCAGCUAAAUAAACUCGAGUUAGUCAAGGCCUACCUAAACUGAAGUUUUCUUCAGAUCGUCUAUGUGAAGCAUGUCAGAAAGGAAAAUUUUCAAAACAUCUUUUAAAAGGAAAACUAUUGACUACCUCUAAGCCUCUGAACUUCUCCACAUUGACCUAUUUGGUCCUGUGAAAACGCAUCAGUCAAUGGAAAGAAGUAUGGACUCAGCAUUGUUGAUGAUUACAGCGCUGGACAUGGGUGAAAUUCCUAAAGACCAAAGAAGUAGCUCACUCUGUAUUCACUAGUUUCUGCUCCAAAGUGCAAAAAAUUUGAUCUAAGAUUAUCAGAUCAGAAUGAUCUGUGGGGAAUUUGAAAUAAAUCCUUUGAGAAUUUUGACUCUAAUGGAAUAUCCCAAUGAUUCUCCUGCCUAGAACUCCACAACAAAAUGAGUUGUAGAGAGCAAGAAUAGGACACUCCAGAGAUGGCCAGAACUAUGAUCAAUGAAACUAAUGGCAAACACUUUGGGCCGAAGCUGAAAAUACAGCGUGUUCAUUCAGAAUAGAAUCUCCAUAAACCUAUUCUGGAUAAGACUCCCUAUGACUGUGUAAAGGAAGGAAACCAAACAUUUCAUAUUUCAUCCAUUUGGAUUUCUUUCUUUAUUUAAAACACUAAAAACAUCUGAACAAGUUUGAUUCCAAAGCACAGAAAUUAUUAUGUUAGGAUACUCGAACGCUCUAAGGCUACAGAGUAUACAACACAGAAACCAAAAGUGUGGAAGAAUCAAAUUCAUGUAGAUUUGACGAUAAGCUUGACCCUAAAAGUCAAAGCUAGUUGAAAAUUUUGCAGAUUUAGAAAUCACUCUUGCAGGAUUGAAGUCUCCAAACAACUUCCACUCAGAACUCUGAGGAAUUAAUCCCCAGAGAACCCAAGAAGCUAAAAGUCUAUAACGUUCUAAGAUUGAUUCUAGCACAAGACGAACCUGUCAAACCGAUCUACCUUCAGACCUCUGAAAUACUCCUCUGACUAGUGUCUCUGAUCGAGCCUACGUCCUGUGAUGACACUUCAAGUAACGACUGGGUUUCAGCCAUGCAGAAGAUUAGUCAAUUCACAAAGAAUGAUGUCUGGGUCUUGUUCCUGAGCCAGAGGCACUCACGUAUUGAACCAGUGGUAUUCAGAAACAACCUGAAUGAAAAGAGAAGUCGUCAGAAAACAAAGCUCGACUGGUAGCUCAAGUUACAAGUCAACAGAAGGAUGACUAACAAUGAACCUUUGCUCCAGUCGCAAGGUUAGAAUCUAUCUCGUCUUCUUGUUAUCUUUUGCUAUAACCACUCAUCAAAUAUAUCAAAGGAUGUCAAGAGCGCAUUCCUUGAUGGUUAUAUAUCAGAAGAAGUGUAUGUCAACCAACCUCCAGGUUUUGAAAAUCCAAAUUUUCCAAACAUGUCUUUAAACUUAAAAAUAUUUAUAUGGACUUAAACAAGCUCCCAGGCUUUGGUAUGAACGUUUAAGCAAUUUUCUUCUGGAACACAAUUUAUCAGAGGAAAGUUGACUCCACACUCUCUUAAACACUUCAACAAUGAUCUCAUGAUAUGCCAGAUAUACGUUGUUAUAUUUUUGGUCAGCUAACGCCUCUGUGUGCAAGAAUCUCUGAGUUAAUGCAGCAGAAUUGACGAAUUGAGCCUAGCAAGACUAAGUUUUCUGAGAAUUCAAAUUAAUCAAACUUCGAGAAUCACGUACGUUCAUCAAAGCAAAUACAUUAAAGAUGUUCGAAAGAAAUUUGACAUGGCUGACUGCAACUCUGCAAAAAACUCCCAUGCAUCAACCAUGCAUUCUUGAAAGGAAAAAAGCAAAAGGUUUGUCAGAACUCUAUCGAGUAUUGAUAGGCUCUCCUUCUCUAUCUAAUUGACCACCUAAUUUCUCUUUAUGUCUGUCUCUUGCCAGUCCAAUCAGAUCCUAGAGAACCCACUUAACAGCAGUAAGAAUUCUCAAUAUCUGAAAGGAACUCCUAACCUGAGCCUGAUUAUGAGAAAACAUCAGAGUAUAACUUUCGGUUACUGUGAUGCAGAUAUGCAGGAGAGCAUAUAGACUAGAACGAAAAAGCCCAUCUGGAAAUUGCCAGCUCCUAGGAAACAAUCUGAAUCCUGGCCAGCAAGAGACAGUCAACUAGCCGCUCUAUCUACUGCAGACAAGCGAAUACAUCUCAGCAUCACUAUGCACAACUAAAUGCUCUGAUGAAGAAUCAGUUAGAAGAUCUGCAAAUCUUCAGUAGUAACAUUUCUAUCUUCGUAGUAUAACACUGCUACCAUUUGUCUAAGUAAGAAUCCCAUUCACACUCCAGAGCUAAGCACAUUUGAAAUAAACAUCAUUAUUAGAGACUAUGUUCAGAAGAGAUAGAGAACAUUGAGUUCAUUGAUACAUAGAUCAUCAAUGGCAGAUAUAUUUACUAAGCCUUUACUGAAGAUAGAUUUCUUUUAUCUAUUAAAAAUCUGAACACUACAAAAUGGCCCUGAUAUAAAUUUGUGCCUCUAAAUGAAAAGGAACUCCGGAAAAAACAAACUGAGUUCUUGUCUCGAUCUACUUUCUACAAGUUAGAAAUAUCUAGUUAGAAAUCUCAUAGACCAAUCCUUUGGCAUUCUGAGACUCAAAUAACAUCAAAACCAGUGAGCACUGCGAUCUAACCUUAACUUCUAGCAGCUUCCACGAAUUCAAAGGCCAGUCGUUUGAGAUCUCCCGCCAUAUGCAUUUUACUGUUGGAAUGAGACAUUCAUUAAUGAGCCAUAUAUUUUCCCCAACGUGCUAACUUGUUCUUUGUGCUAAAGCAUUGUUGUGUUCGUUUUCUGCAUGGUUUUGUUUAGGAUUAACAUCCUCUCACACUUCACACACUUUUUCACUCUCACUCACUCUCAAAACCUAUUCUCUUUAAGCAUUUCUGCAAGCGUCAUCUUCAACCCUCUUCAUCAACAAGGAUGCUCGAACAAAACAAUUUUCAACUUGUUCUCAACAAAUGGAAUCAAGCACCACAGCAAGCACAAGCAUUCCCACUCCAACAGUUACAGGCGUAUCCAUUACUCCAGUGUACAAGGAACCCCAUGUUCUUGAUCGUGAGCCUCAUAUCAACCUGGAAACUCCCUUUGAGGGACUGGAAGUUUUAUGUGAAUCACUGGUAGACUUCAACAACAUGAAGAGAAACGGAGUAGAUCUUACUGAAGAACUUCGUCAACAAGGUUGGGAAAACUACUUUCAACGGCUCUACGGCCCUGUUUACCCAAACCUCACCAAAGAAUUCUGGAGAUUUGCUGACGCUGAUGACCAUUUCAUCGUCUCCUACGUGUUGGGGGUCAAGAUAGUGAUUACUGAAAAGUCAAUUGCUUCUUUACUGAACAUGGAGAAAACUGAAGGAAGAAGGAUCUACGACAUCAACCCCAGAUCAAGGUACAUUGCUCAGGUAAUCAAUCCCACCAUAUUCAAACUCAACACUGAAGGCAAUCCAUCAAAGAACAAAGAACUUCAUCAGAACCUCAAAGUAUGGCUCAAGAUCAUUUUGGGAACCAUUCAUCACCGCCCAACAUCAAACUCCUCUGACUACAUCAAUACAGAUCAGAAGUGUAUUCUGUAUUGCAUUCACAAGGGUUUGAAGCUCUGCCUCCCAACACUACUCUUCAGGUAUCUCAGAGACUCUGUACGGGAGACCAGAAACAACAUGAAACCCAGAACCUACAUCCCUCUGGGAAGACUUCUGUCUGAUGUUUUCAUCGAAAAUGGGCUUGUAGAUCAUCUGGAGAAGAACAAGCUUAUGGAAGAUCUGGCGAUAGAUACUGGAAGGCCUCUGAACUCCAGAAAUCUGAAGAGCAUGGGAAUUCUGAAGAAGAUUCAAUUCAAACCCACGCUGGACACCUCCUGGGACGCCUUGAAAGAUCAGAGGAAGCUGCCACAUGGUCUUGCAAGGUUCUACAAGAAUGAACCCAGAGAAGCAAUCCUUCACUAUAUGCAGCGUCUGAAGGAUGAAGGAGUUGACAUUUCUGACUUCAGACUGGACGAUAUGCUAGAUUCAGAAUCAGACUUCGUCAAGUUCAAAAGAGGUCCCUCUGAAAAGAAGUCUUCAAAGGCAAAGAAAGCAAGGCUAGGAGAAACUUCUGAAACAAGAUCUCCAGCGCCUCUGCAAGUAACUACUGGUAAGUCUGCUCCCUCUAUUCCCUCUGAACCUCCUGUGGCUUCCUCUAAUCCUCUCCCAACACCUCUAUACACAUCCUCUGAAACCCCACCUUCUAUAAUCAGAACCUCACAACCUCGACCUAAAUUUAAUCUUGCCCAUACAUCACUACCUCUAUCCGAAGCUGAAGAACUCAAUCAAACCACCUCUUCAUCUUCAAACCCAGAAUCACCCCCUACCUUAUCCUCUCCUCUGACCUAGAACCUUCUGACCCUGCUUCUCCCACUCUAGCCCACCUUUAUUCUCUAAACCAAAACACUCAAUAACCAACACAACCUCCACCUGAAGUAACUUCACCAUCCACAGAACAACCAACCCUCAUUCCAUCUGAACUCCAGCCCUCUGACCUUCAUACCUCUGAAACUAUCCCUCCAAACACUUCCGCUGAACCUGAACCUGAACCUGAGCCUCAAACACUAAACUUAAGCCCUCCAAACUCUCCACUCCAAACAUCUGAACCUGAACCUGAACAUUCCAUGCCUACCCUUGAGGAAGCCAUAAUGUUGUUCGCAAGGGCUUCAGUAUAGAAGGUCAAGUCUCUGACCAUUAACUCUGGCAUCAGUGAUGAUCCUGACUCUGUAAGGACACACUAAAACAAAGUCAUUGGCUGGAUGACUUCUGAAGCUUUCAAACUGAAGCACAUCUCUGAGCAAGUCAGAAACGACUUCAUCAAAGAUGCUGAGGCAAGACUACAGGAAAGACUUGCCAGAGAAGCUGAAGAAGAAGCAAGAAGACAAGAAGAAGAAAGAGCUCGGCAAGCAGAAAUCCAAAGGGCAAAGGAAGCUGAAGCCAAAGCUCUGGCCGAUGCUGCUGCUGCUGCUGAAGUUGAAGCACAAGCUGCUGCUGAAGCUGAAGCGAAGGCCGCUGCUGAAGCACAGAGUGCUCUGACUCAGGGGGAGUCCUCCACUGUUGUCCCUAUGGUUCUCCAGACACUUGAAGAACUUAAGAAAGACCAGAAGGAACUCAGAGCCAGAAUGGACAAACAGGAUACCGUCAACGACAACAUUCAGAACAUGCUGGCUCAACUGCUUCAGAGGAUGCCUCCUCCUCCCAACCCUUAGGCACUUAGGAUCUUUUGCUUGUUGCUUUGCUUUCCUUGUUUCUGAUGUUUAUUUGUUUUUCUUGCCAUUGUCUCUGUUGCUCUUCUAUCUGAAUAUAAUAUCUUUUUUGAUUAUUUUGUUUAAGUCUUUUUGAUUCUGACAAAAAGGGGGAGAAAUCAAUAUAGCUCUGAUGAAAAUUGCCUAAUACCCUAAGCACUCUGCAACAUGCUUUUCUUAAAAAUAAAUUCAUCUAACAUUGGACUUAAGAAAUUGCAGAUAGUAUCGAAACUUCAUUGCUUGGAAGCUCUGGUAAGAACUUCUGAACUCCCUAGCUCAUCUCAGGGGGAGCUCCUGAUCUGAUAUUUCCUGUUUCAUCUGCUAUUUAAGUUUGUUUUGUCAUCAUCAAAAAGGGGGAGAUUGUAAGAACAAAAAUUGUUCUACAACAGAUUCCAUGAUUUUGAUGAUAACAAAGGAUGAAACCAAAAAUGGCACCCUAACGAAAAGUUUCUAAGUGUGCAGGGUUCUAAGGAAAGAAGGAAGAGAUCUGAUGACGUCAUCAGAUACAGAAUCAUAUCAGAUACAAAUUAUCAGAAGAUCAGAAGCAUCUGAAGUAGAAACACGCUCAAGAAGUUCUAACUCUGAGCAAAACAGCAGAAUAUCAGAAGCAUCUGAAGAAGAAGUGCACUCUAGAAGUUCUGACUCUGAACAACGGUAUAUCAUUCCAGAAGCUCUCAGCGUCAUCUGAAGACAUCAUCAGAACUCCUUAAGAUAAACAUCAGAAGCUCCGAAUCAACACAGCAAGAUUCCAAGAUUCCCAGAGUCACGCAGACUUUGAUAAUGGAUUUCCUAAUACAGAAAGAGUAACGUUAACUUCAAAUUCAAAUGGAAAGGAACUAUAUUUGGAAAGAAGUUAUUCGGGGAGACAAAGUUGUUUUGGCAAGAAACAACAGAAGUUAUGGCAUUAAUUCCUAUUCAAGACAAAUUAUCUGCCAUCAAUUUCAACGGUCCUUUCACUCCUAUAUAAAGGACAGCAAUCAACAUUGAGAGGCGCGCAAGCAUACACUGAAACAUUCUCUCUCUCUCUCUCUAUAUUUCACAAAGCUUUUGCUUAGAACGUGAAACACUCUUUUGUUCUUACUGUUGUAAUAUUUGCUUAUCUUAGAAGCACUCUAGAUUACAUAGUCUUUUAUCUAUUGUUUUAUUUCCUCAAGUGACUCUGCGCAGUCUGUAUACUUGAGAGGACUAAGAGAUCUUUCUCUUAGACGUUGGUUGUAAACAAUCUUUCAAGAUUAGUGGAUUAAGUCCUUGUUGAAGGCGAAAUCACCUUGGCCGGGUGGACUGGAGUAGCUUUGUGUUAUAAGUGAACCAGUAUAAAUUCCUUGUGUGGUCUUUAUUUUGAAAAAGCGCUUAUUUUCCAAAACAAUUCAAACCCCCCUUUCUUGUUUUUCUCACCUUCAGAAGAGCUUCCCGAGGAAGGCAGGAAUCACAAUUUGGCACUCCAUAUUUCUAUGAAUUGCAAGGAGGAUGCUUUGUCCAAUAUGUUGGUUGACACUGGGUCAUCAUUGAAUGUGCUUCCAAAAUCAACUUUGUCAAGACUCUCUUGUCAAGGCGCCCAAAUGAGGUAUAGUGGCGUAGUUGUCAAAGCGUUUGACGGUUCUCAUAAAACCGUCAUUGGAGAAGUAUACCUUCUAGUGAAGAUAGGUCUGAGUGAUUUCUAAAUUACUUUCCAGGUAAUGGAUAUCCACCUAGCCUACAGUUGCUUAUUGGGAAGGCCAUGAUUUCACGAAUUUGGAGUUAUGACGUCUACUCUUCACCAAAAGCUAAAAUUUGUGCAAAACAGCAAGCUUGUCGUUGUUGGUGGAGAGAAGGCAUUAUUGGUGAGCCAUUUGUCAUCUUUCACGUAUGUUAAUGCUGAGGAGGAGGUUGGAACAUCGUUCCAGGCCUUAUCUAUUAUUGAUGAAUUGAAGAAAACUGGGGCACCCAUGUCUUCUUUGAAAGAUGUGUAAGAGGCUAUUCAAGUCGGCAGUAUUGAUAAGUGGGGCCGUGUUGUGGCAGUCGCCGAGAACAAAAAUAUAGUCGUGCUAGGAUUUCAACCAGGACCGUUCAAUGUCAAAGCCAAAGUUAUGCAACCAAUUUUCCGCAGUGGAGGGUUCAUUCAUGGGAAUGAUCAACACUUAGCUGCCAUUAUUGAAGACAAUGGUGAUGAAGAUGAAGCUUGCGCCAACUUUAUGACGCAUGGCCAGAUUUACAACAAUUGGGUUGUUGUUGAUGUUCCUGUUGUCAUUCAUCGUUCUAAGUAAUUUGUUUUUAGUGUUUUUAAGAAAAAUCCUUCUCCUAUGCCUAAGGGAGAAGUGAACAUUGUUGGGCAUUUUCUUUAUUGUCAUCAAUAAAAUACAAUUUUAUUCAUCCAUAUCUAUGAUGUUUAUUUUAUCUUUUGCUUUUUCUGAAAAUGGUAAUCACAAAAAAAAACAUAAAUAAAUAAUCUUUCGAUCUGCAUAAUAUUUGUUCGCACUCCACUUCUCUAAAAUCAAAUAUCAAAUCAUUAUGCAGGUUGAUUCUCAAACCCAUUGACUACAAUGAUCCUACUCCCUCGCCAAACUUCAAUUUCCCUGUGUUUGAAGAUGAGAAAGAGAUUGACGAUGAAGAAGUAUCUGAUGAGUUAUCUCGUUUACUUAAGCAUGAGGAAAAAUCCAUUUAUCCGUUUGAAGAGCAGAUUGAACUAGUCAACUUGUGUUCCGAAGAUGAUGUGAAGGAAGUCAAGAUUGGGUCUCAACUGUUUCCAAAAGUUAAGAAGGGGUUGAUUGAUCUUCUUCAAGAUUAUUCUGAUGUGUUUGUUUGGUCCUAUCAAGACAUGCCUGGUCUGGAUUAUGAGAUUGUGGAGCAUAGAUUGUCGUUGAAGCCAGAAUUCCCGUCGGUCAAGCAAAAAUUGAGAAGGACUCGUCCUGAUAUGGCAGUGAAGAUCAAAGAGGAAGUACAGAAGCAGAUUGAUGCUGGUUUUAGAGUGAUGGCAUAUGAAGAUAUGGAGAAGACCACAUUCAUUACACCCUAGGGAACAUUCUGUUAUAGAGUGAUGCCUUUCGGUCUAAAGAAUGUUGUCCAACGUACCAGAGAGCUAUGACCACACUUUUUCAUGAUAUGAUGCAUAAAGAGAUUGAAGUUUAUGUUAAUGAUAUGAUUGCCAAAUCAAGUGAUGAAGAAGAACAUGUUGAGCAUUUGUUGAAAUUAUUUCAGCGUUUGAGACAGUAUAAACUCCGCUUGAAUCCAAAUAAGUGUACUUUUGGUGUUUGUUCUGGUAAAUUGUCGGGCUUCAUUGUCAGUGAGAAGGGUAUUGAAGUUGAUCCUUCCAAGGUCAAAGCAAUACACAAGAUACCUGCGCCUAAAACUGAGAAGCAAGUCAGAGUUUAUCUCGGCCGCUUGAACUAUAUCUCAAGGUUUAUAUCACAUAUGACUGCCACAUGUGCGCCAAUUUUUAAGCUUCUUCGGAAAUAUCAGUCUUCUGAUUGGACCGAAGAUUGCCAGAAAGCUUUUGAUAGUAUAAAAGAGUAUAUGCUUGAGCCUCCGAUUCUGUCUCUGACUAUUGAAGGAAGAUCGUUAAUCAUGUAUUUGAUUGUGCUUGAUAAGAGUAUGGAUUGUGUUCUUGGUCAGCAAGAUGAAUCUGGAAAGAAAGAAUAUGCAAUUUACUACCUCAGUAAGAAGUUCACUGACCGCGAGACUCUGUAUUCUAUACUUGAAAAAAUGUGUUGCGCAUUGGCUUGGGCUGCUAAGCGUCUACGCCAGUAUAUGUUGAAUCAUACUACUUGGUUGAUAUCCAAAAUGGAUCCAAUCAAGUACAUUUUUGAGAAGCCUGCUUUAACUGGGAGAAUUUCCCGUUGGCAGAUGUUGUUAUCUGAGUAUGAUAUUGAAUACCAAUCUCAAAAAGCUAUCAAGGGUAAUGUCUUGGCUGAACAUCUAGCUCACCAAUUAAUUUAAGAUUAUCAAUCAAUGCAAUAUGAUCUUCCUGGUGAAAAGAUUUUGUACUUGAAGAUGAAAGAUUGUGAUGGACCGCUGCUUGAAGAAGGGCCAGAACCUGGUUCCCGUUGGGGCAUGGUAUUUGAUGGAGUUGUUAAUUAUUAUGGUAAUGGCAUUGGGCCAGUGAUUAUUACUCCUCAAGGCACUCAUUUUCUGUUUAUAACUAGAUUGACCUUCAAAUGUACAAACAAUAUGGGUGAGUAUGAAGCUUGCAUUAUGGGGCUUGAAGAGGCCAUUGAUCUCAGAAUUAAAUAUCUUGACGUCUACGGAGAUUCAACUUUUAUUGUGAAUCAAAUCAAAGGUGAAUGGGAGACGAAUCAACCUGGUUUAAUACCAUAUAUAGACUAUGUGAGGAGGAUUUCAACUUUCUUUACAAAGGUUGAGUUUCAUCAUAUCCCUCGAGAUGAAAAUCGGAUGACAGAUGCUCUUGGAACGUUGGCUUAUAUGAUUGUGGUGAAAUUCUGAAAUGAACUUCCUAAUUUGACUGUGAUGCGUCUUGAUAGGCCAACUCAUGUAUUUACCAAAUGUUUCCUCUAAAUUCAGAUUUAGCCGCCUGGGGAAUCCUUGAAAGAUAAGAAGACUUUGAGAAGAUUAGCUGGAAACUUCUACCUGAAUGGUGAUGUGCUUUAUAAGAGAAAUUUCGAUAUGGUUUUGCUCAGAUGCGUGGAUAGACACGAAGCAGGCCUGUUGAUGACUGAAGUCCAUGAAGGUUCCUUUGGUACUCAUUCCAAUGGACAUACUAUGGCAAAUAAGAUGUUGAGAGCAGGUUACUAUUGGCUGAUAAUGGAAUUUGAUUGUUGCAAGUUUGUGAAUAAAUGUCACAAGUGUCAAAUUUAUGCAGAUAAGAUUCAUGUUCCUCCGACAUUGUUGAAUGUCAUUUCCUCUCCAUGGCCCUUCUCCAUGUGGGGAAUUGAUAUGAUUGGUAUGAUUGACCCCAAAGCUUCGAACGGAUAUCGUUUCAUUCUAGUGGCUAUUGAUUACUUCACAAAGUGGGUUGAAGCGGUAUCUUAUGAAAAUGUUACCAAGUAAGUUAUUGUGAGGUUUAUCAAGAAUCGGAUUAUAUGCCGGUAUGGUUUGCCAAGUAAGAUCAUUACUGAUAAUGGAUCUAACUUGAAUAACAAUAUGGUGGAAAUUCUUUGCAAAGACUUCAAGAUUGCACAUAAUAAUUCUUCUCCCUAAAGACCUAAGAUGAAUGGGGGUUGUUGAAGCUGCAAAUAAGAACAUUAAGAAGAUCAUUCAGAAGAUGGUUGUGACAUAUAAAUACUGGCAUGAGAUACUCCCAUUUGCUUUGCAUGGGUAUCGUACAUCCAUCUGCACUUCAACGGGGGCAACCCCUUUCUCUCUUGUUUAUGGUAUGGAAGUUGUGCUCCCCGUGGAGGUUGAGAUCCCAUCAUUGCGUGUCUUGAAGGAAGCCAAGUUGACAGAAGCUGAAUGGUGCCAGACCAAAUAUGAUCAGUUGAAUUUGAUUGAAGAGAAGAGAUUGAUUGACAUGUGUCAUGGUCAGUUAUAUCAGCAAAGAAUGAAGAAAUAAUUUGAUAAGAAGGUCAGGCCUCGUGUGUUUAGAGAAGGUGACCUCGUGCUCAAGAAGAUUUUAUCUUUCAAACCUGAUGCUAGAGGCAAAUGGACUCCUAAUUAUGAAGGCCCAUAUGUUGUUAAGAGAGCCUUCUCAUGCGGUGAUUUGAUUCUUACAACUAUAGGUGGUGAAUAGUUCAUGUGUCCUAUGAACGUCGAUGCAGUCAAGAAAUACUUUGCCUAAAAAGAAAAAGAACAACUUGCUAAGUUGAAAACCCAAAAGGGCGGCUUAGGCAAAAAUGAGCGUCUCAGUGGAUUGAAAACCCGAAAGGGCGAUCCAAGCAAAAAUUAGAGACAUAAAAUAGAAAAUUUACUCCGGUAGAUUGAGUAUCCACCUUGGGACAAUCUAGGCAAAAUUUAGGGAUUAUGGCAAGUAACUGCACCCGACCGGUUUUGAGUAAGUCAUUUGGUUUUGAUUCAUCAUUCUCAACCAAAGACAAGCACAAUGGAUGUUAAAGUUGGUAGGGAGAGUAGUGAUCAUUGUAUUCAAUGUAGCCCUUUUCCAUGUAAAUUAUCAUUUUAAAACUUUGUAAAGAUCUGUGGAGUCUCGUCAUUUACGGACUACCAUUCUAUUAAAUAAAGUUAAGCUUUUAUCCAAUUAUUUAUAUUCUUAUUUACUUUUGCUAAAUAAAAUUUAAUUUUUAUGAUGAUAAUUUUGAAAUAAAUUAGUGAAUAAUAAUUAUUUUUCUUAAAAUAAUAAAAAUAAUCACUUUAAGAAUAAUCGAUUUUAGUAAGGAAUGUCAACAACAAUCUAAGAAUAGGUAAGUCUUGAAGAGUGAAGCAUUGUUGGUCUUCCCCAAGCAGUUGGUUUGGUAACUAUUUUCCUCCCCAACAACUCGUCAUUUAUCCCCAGCUUGGCUGAUGAGUUUCUCCAUGAAUAUUUCAUCAUCCUCAGUAGAGACGGUGGGUCUCAUCUCCAGUUGAGCUGAUGAUCGGUCCCCUUUGCAAAUUCGCAUUCCCCAGCUGAGGUGCUCAUGUUUUGUAUCCCCCAAUUUGUGAUUUAUGAUUGGAGCCUGGAGAAUCGAAACCUUUAUUUGGUUUCCAUUUGCCUUUAUUUGUGGCAUAACUUCGGCAAUUUCUCCUUUUGUGAAUCAGACCUGGUUAUCUUUGCCUUGGAAUUGGUUUAUUUCACAAUUUCCAAGAAGAAUUCGAUGAUUAUUGAGGAAUGCAAUGAUCUUGGUCAUAGCAUCCCCAUCAAUUUAAUUAUAUCCUCAUACAUAAUUUUAUCUCUUGUAUUCCCCGACAGAGUUCAUCUUCUGAUAGAAGUUCCCUCUUUCCCGGCAUUGUUUGAUUCAGCGCAGUAUUUGAUUUAGUCCCCUGUAUGGUUGUCUCCCAUUUUCUAUGGUGUUGACCUAAAAUUCCCUAUAGUGUUGACAAUUUGGAUCCUUAACAUAUCCUCUCUCUAUCCUCGGCAUAUUUGGUUGAUCAUCCUUCAGCAGUGCUCUCUCCCUGUAAAGUUUGUCGUGAUUGAUUGGAAGCAAGUUCUCCAUGUCUUUCCCCAUCCAGAGUUGAUUUAUUCAGAGUUAGAUGAUUUUUUUUCAUCCCUAGCAUUUUCUCUAGUUGGUGUUUCCAUCUUGUUGAGAUUAUUCGAGUGUUUUAGUGAUGAUUCAAAUCUUUGUUAUUUGUAUCCUUUGUGUUGUUUUGUCAGCAUAACCAUAAUAAUAAACAUGCAUAUUCAUGCAUAAAACACAACAUCAGAUAUAUUUCAUUAUGCAUUUUAUCGCAUUUGAUUUUUUUUUCUUCUAAUCCCCUAAUUCGGUAAUAUUGUCUACCCGUGUAGGUUUGGUGUGUUUGUCUUCCUUCAAUUGUAGAGUGUCAGCCACUUAAGCAGAAAGGGUUUAACCUUUCUUAUUCCCCACUGAGUUAUUUCCUUGUGGAUGAUUAUUAUUUCAGUUUCCUCCUCAGUUAAUUAUCUAGAUGGAACCACUCCCCUUGAGUUAUAUCCUCAUUGGGUUGAGUCUUUGUUUGUCUGUUUCUUUCUAGUUAUUACCUAGAUAGAUAUUUCGCUCCCCCUGAGAGUCUAUUACCCAGUAACUGAUAAUAUUCUUCUCAAUUUUCGAGUACAUUACUUUUGCCCAAUACCCGGUAAAAUGUAAUCUACUUCUUUUGGUUUCCCCAGCGGAUUCGUUUUCAUGUCUCCCCAAGUAGUCUAUCCUUUAUAUGUUCAUCUUAAUCGGAGACAAAUAUUCUUCCUUCUUGGUUUUCUACCCAAUAAAAAGGUAGUUGUAAUCCCUAUUUUAUUCCCCAUAGAGUCUAUCCUUGAUAUGUUGACUUUGACCGGUGGCGGGUUUUCUCUUCUUUUUGGUAUUCUACCCAGUAACUGGUAGUCAUAAUUCCUACUUUCCCCUACUGAGUCUAUCCUUGAUAUGUUCACUUUGAUUAGUGACGAAUUUUCUAUCCUCUUUGGUCUUCUACCCAAUAGCCGAUAGUUGUAAUUCCUAUUUCUCCCCGACAGUUUAUCCUUGAUAUGUUUACCCUAACCGAUAAUAAAUAUUCUUCCUCAUUCCCCAUGUGGUUUAUCCUUGAUAUGUUCAUCCUAACCGAUGACAAAUAUUAUUCUUUUGAGUAUAUCCUUGAUAUGUUCACUUUAAACCAGUGGUGGAUACUCUCUCCUUGGUUUUCUUCCCAGUAACCGAUAGUUGUAAAUCAUAUUUGAUUUCUCUCCCCAAUAGGUUAUUCUUACCUGGUUGAUCGGUAAUGAAUACACCUCUUUUUCUCAGCGAGUCAUCCUUUAUAUGUUUAUCCUAACCGGUAACGAAUGUCCCUCUAUCAAAGUGUAUUAUCUUCCUACCCAGUAACCGGUGAUAGAUAAUGUAUCUCUUUUACUCUUGUGUUGAAGUUAAUUCCUCCCUAAUUGAGUUUGAGUGUGUAUUUAUUCAGUGAAAUCUCCAUCCCCUGUUUGAUUUGAAUAUUUCAGUUUUGUUCUGAUCUAUUCAUAUCCCCUGCAUAUUUUCCCUUAUCCCCAUACCGAGUCCUUCCAUUGAUUUAUUUUUGUGAAAAACCCCUCGUGUCUCCAGCAGUUUUCAAGUCGUAGUCUGACCUAUGCAUAGCUUGUUAUCCCCCCAGAGUCUCUGUCUCCUUAAGGAGCUUUCCUUAUGGAAUGUGUUAUGCUUCUGUGGACUUUCAGUCUCUCUGGAUUCUUUUUCUUUAUGGCAAUAUAUUCCCCACAAAGAUUAUUUUUACAUACAUAUCAUAUGCAUCAUGAGGUCUCUUAGGGACCAAAAUUUGUUUCUAGAUGUUGUUAUUUAAGUUCAUUCUACUAAGUUGAUACAAAUAUUUUAACCUUCACAUCCCCAGCUAGAAUCUCUUUAAAUAGGGGCAGCUGUAAGACACCAAUUUUGACCCUAAGAUCCCUCAUGUUAUCUUAUCAUAUGCAUUGGAUUUGUGAUCACACCUUGGCAUCCUUCUUACCCCUCAUCCAUUAGGGUUUACAUUGGGAGAGACCACCAAGCACAUUUUAUUGUAUCAUACUUUGUGUUUCAUUAUUUACUAACCAAAAUACCAAAAAUAUGUCUAUGUAUAGCUUUGUUUCUUUUGUAGGUUGUGUGUGCAUCCACCAAUGCUUCAUCAAGCUCACAAUUAGGGUUUGAGACCCUCAGUGCAAGUAGAUUAAUAAAGAGAUGGUUCACAUUGUUUCUAGACAUCAUAUAUGGGUUCCUAUAAUCUUCACUUAUCAUUUUGAUCAAGAAAUCAUCAAGAUUUUGAAGCUUGUUUGCCUUGGAAGCCCUAAAUCAUCUGGGUAUCUUGUGUGACUUCCUAAGCAAUUUUCUUCAUCCUCUGAUCAAAUAUUUCAAAGGAUACUUCAUAUUACAUCAUCUUAUGCAUAUAUGAUCCUCCAUGAUCUCUAUAGAUCAAGAGAACUUCAAGUUUGCAAGUUGGUUCAAGGUGGUUGACCAAAGAAAGUCAACUAGUCAAAACUGGGGUUCCCUAGACCCUAUCUCCUACAAUAAUUUUCAUAUGAAAAUUAUUCCAAGAGUAACGUUACUCCUUAUUACAUUCAAAACAACUUUCAUGUUGAGGUCAAGAUCUAUUUUUUCUUGGAAAGUCAUUUUUUAUGGUGAAAUAUUAUAGGUCAUUUUGUCGGUGCACUAAUUAGGAGAUCAACUUCCAAGGAACACAACUUGCUCAAUAUUUAUGAGAUUAAAGACAUCCAAGUUUCAUGAUCAAUUUCAAGAUGUCCUCUCCAACUUUGAUUCUAUGAUAAACAUAAAAUUAAACUUGAAAGGGCAUGUUCCAAGAGGAAACGUUAUAGGUCAUUUUGAGCCAUCAUCAUUGAACAAGCAAUUUUCCUCAACUUCUGAAAUGCAUAACUCCCUCAUGCCAAAUCCAAAUGAUGCCAAAUUUGUGAAAAAAUUGAAGGCGUAUGAAAUAUCUACAACUUUAAUGAAGGAACGUUUUCCAUUUGAAGCUCAUAGCAAAAGUUAUUCAAGGUUGAAGAAGUGGUCAUUUGACUUUGUACUUAGAAAAUUUUCAACUAUGUUUGAUUUCUCAAACUUCCACCUCAAAAUUCAUCAUGAUUCAAGCUUCAAAUGGAAAAGUUUUCAACAUUAAAGUUGUUCCCCUUGAUCUCUCCUUCCCAAAAAUUCCAAAAUCGCUUCAUUUGGACAAGGUUUGAAUGACUUGUGCAUGCUCUUCAUGGUUCUAUUUGGAUGAAUCUCAUGACUGUUGGUGUAAGCCCUAGAGGCCAAUACUUUUGGUACUUGUAUCGAAUUAUUUAUUAAUAAUAAAAGGCUUUUUAUUUAUUAUGUUUGUUUAAUAAAUUCCCUAGAAUAUCUAGUCCGUUUAAUGUAUCAAGUGUGACUUAAUCAUGAGAUCACAUUAAACAUAAGGACAUUAUUCUUAAAGUAUCCGUAGUCGAGCUUUAUUGUGAAGUGGGAUAACAUUAAGGCAUUAAGACUAUUAUGUAUAUAGACUGAUGAUCACAUAUCAUGGAUCAUGGAUAAGGAGUUAUCAAGUCUUAAAUAUAGGUAUGAAUAUUAAGAGUAUAUAAAUAUGACCUAACUGGGCGAUACUCUUAUGAUAUAUCUUAGUUAUGCAAAGUGUCAUAAGUUAUUCGCAUGGUGAUAAUGGUGUAUACCACCCUUCGACCUGAAACCACUAUGGACCUUAGAUGUAGAGUCGAGUGCCUUAUUGCUGAUCAAACAUUGUCCGUAAUUAGAUGACCAUAAAGACAGUUGAUGGAUACUCCACGAAGCAUGCUAAGGGACAUGAGUGACCUAGAUGGAAUUUUCCCAUCAUGUGUAACAGGAUAAAUGUCUGUGGGCCCAAUAUUGAACUGGACAAGGAUGACACGGUUUAUGCCUUGUGUUCAAUAUAGACAUAAGGGCAAAAGGGUAAUUGUACACAUAAGUAUUAUCACAAAAGGAAUUGCCAGAUCACAUGACAUUUUCGUGUCUUGGGUAGCAGUGAUGUGUUGCUAGAUACCGCUCACUGUUUAUUAUGUUAAAUACAUGAUUUAAUAUAAUUGCCAAUACCGCGAAAACUUACAAGGUCACACACAAAAGGACGGAUUGAUGAGAAAUAGAGUAACUAAGGAACACCGUAAGGUACGGUGCACUUAAGUGAAUUGUAGAACAUCGUAAGGUACGGUGUAGUUAAGUAGAAUACGAAAUAUGGUAAGAUACCAUGCGCUUAAGUGAUUUUGGAAUAUAAUAAGAUAUGGGCCACAUACACUUAAGUAGGCCUUUUAGCUUGCGGCCCACACAAGUGGUUCCAUAAAUAGAACCCUUGUGCAGAAGCAUUUGUGCAGUUACAAUUUCGUUUCUCUCUCUCUCACUCACUCAAAGCCUUCAUUCGUAGCAGCUAGCACUGAGAUUGAAGGAAUCCGUUCGUCUGGACUGAGUAGAGGCGUUGUCAUCGUUCAACGUUCGUGAUCGCUCCGUAGAUCUGAAUCAAAGGUUUCAAUCAUCACAAGAGGUAACCAUUUUAUCACUGAUCAUGCCCAUUUGUAAGGAUCACUAAAGGAGAUUUUUUUAAAAUUCCGCUGCAUUUUGGAUCGCUCUUCUCCUUCAAUGACCACUUCCCAAUUUCAUAUGCAUGGCUUCAUGUUACACUUUCAACAUCACUCAUGAUCAUCUUUGGACCUUUUGACAUCAUUUUAUGGGCCUAUCACACACCCAUGCAAGCAUGCACAUGAGAAUUAUUAUUUUUGGCAUUUGAAUGGAAGUGUGUGGAAAUCAAUUGCCAAGUCUAUAAAUACAUUGCCUCAUGCUCAGAAUUAUGGACACCUUUCCCAAGCUUUGCUUCUGCAACCUUCCUGUCACCUUUAGAGGAUAAACUUGAAGGUUUUUAAUUGAAAAUCGAGUUUCAAUUGCACUUCUGUUUUGAAGUUGAAACUCCAAGGAUCCAAGCCAUUCGAGCUCUCAAUUCACCUCCUGCAAUCAAGUGGAAGCAAGCCCAAGCAAAUUGAGAUCCAGAUCGAGCCUCAUCACUGCAUAUAGAAGGUGAAAUUUACCAAAUAUUCUCUCUUCGAUUCUCUCUCAAUUCUUCAUCAUUCUCUUUGAUUUUUGAUUGGCUGAAGUCCUACCAAUGUAGGCAACAAGAUUGAGUUGCUUUGAGGUCAAAUCGAAGCAACUCAGAUCAUGAACCUCAAAUUUUCAAAUCCAUGUAUCUUUCAAUAUACUUGGAAUUGGAAGAAAUGGAGAUCAGAUUCGUGCUCCUGAGCAUUUUUCCUUUAAAAACAUGUACUCACUUUUCAUUUUUCAUUUGGUGUAGGGUGGACCAGUCCGGUGAGAUCCACCAGAAAAGAUGACCAGAGCUAGAGCUCCGGUGGUGUGUUGGCAUGACCUGAACCAUCUGAUCUCACAUCCACGUUUUAAUCCUGACCCUUGUUUUGUUUGACUCAUGUUACCACGCGUUUGACUCGGGUGUUUGGUGCACUCUAGUGCGUGGCCAUCAGAUUUACCACCUCAUUUGAUGAGGGCGAUCUGAUGGCCCUUAUUUUUUUGAAUUUCUUUUUAUUUUUUGAUUUUUCAUUUAAUCCAUUUAUUUUGUUUAAUUCAUAUUAAUUUCAUUUUUAAUCCAAAAAAUAUAUGGGACUUUCACCAAAAAUCUUUAAAUAUUUUUCUCAUCCAUAUUCUAAAUUAAAAUUAUUUUUUGGAUUAAUUUUGAUAUUUUUCAUGAAUUAAAUGUUUUUAUGCAUAUUUUUAAUUGUUUAAAAAUACUUCUGACUUUUUAAAAACUGUGAAAUUUUUUGUCUAAGGUCCUUUGACCUUGUUUGACCUAGGAUAAAUCCCUUGGUCAUUUAUUUGGUGUUUUGAAGGGAUUUUAGGUUUUGACCAAAUUUAAAUGCAUUUUUAUCCAUUUUUUAAUUGAUUUUUAAUUGAUUAAAUGUAUAAAAAAUUUGUUGCGUCAUUUUUAUGGUCUUGUGUUGUUUUACUUUCUGUUUGGGUCUUGGUCACGGUUAAUUUGACUUUUGUUGGAUCAAAACCAUUGGAUUUAGGGGAUUGAUGAAAUGUACAUUUCAUCUCCCAAAAUGAAUGGAUUGUUUUGAUUUGAUGAAAUUCCUCCCAUGAUCAAUUUGUGUUUCUAUCUUCCCCUCCCUCUUCAUCUUCAUCCCUAUUCUUUCUCGUUCCCUCAUUUGACAAGUGAAAUCUCUAAUGUCAAAAUGCUAAUUGAUUCAUCAAUGACCUUGUGUCAGAUAAAUCAAUAUAAGUAUGACUGAGAUAGGUCUUUCCCAUUUCCUUUUAGUGUGUGGUAUGUUUUAGGAGUUUGGUUCUUUGUGCCAAAUCUCUGACAUGCAUUAACACUUAUAGUUUUAUUAUCCGGCCUCAGAUAUUUGUAACUUCUAGAUAAGUCUAAUUACGAUUGCUUAGCAUAGAUCUAAAUUUGAUCCUCAAGGUAUGGCAUUCUAGUAAGUGAGAUUGUAAGUCUCCCAUUCUUCAUGGAAUUGUGUGGAGACUUGACAUUUUUUCCUUUCAUGGGAGCUAGUGGCAUACUUGUUGAAUUAUCCAAGUUGGAGCCCUUCUCAUGGAAGAUGUCUUGAUUUAAGGAUUCAUACUUCUGAUUGAAUGGUUGAGUGUUUUAUAAAGAAUGACUUAAUCAAUUCAAAAUCAUCACUAACACUUGACUAACUUUUGAAUAACAUUUGACUAACUCUUGUUAAUAUUGCUUUUCUUUCAAGUCAUUUACUAUUAUGCAAUUUAAAUUUCAGUCAUUUAUCAUUCAUUGCCAUUUACAUUUCAUAUAACCUGUUUAUGUUUAUGUUUAUGUCCUUUUCACUUUACUCAUUUGAGCCAUAUCUUGUGAUCGUAUAUUUUGUUUGUGGGUUUUGAUUUUGUUUGUGGUCUUAGGACCUUAAAAUACCUAAUAACAACAAAACCCCUAAAAAACAUUUGGUGGACUAUUGAACUUGAUCUGAACUUUUGGAUUUAGGAUUAGGCAACAUUCCCUGUGCUAAAAGGACUUGGCCAAUGCCAACAUCUUGAUACUGAGAUAUUUUAAGUUUUGCCUUCAUCUGAUACAAGCCUUGAGAGCUCCUUGGGUUCAUCUGUUACUCUGUCUUUGUGCUUAAUUGUUGUUUUGAUCUUGUGUCUGAUGUUUUGUUCUAAGUUGAUCAAGGAAUUUUUCAUCUGGUACAUUGAAAGACAAUGAAGACUGCUAGCUAUUGGAAUGUUUGCUUGGAUGUGGCCACCUUUAUUUGAUGCCCCUGAUCUUUAUGAUGUCUGGAUAUUGCUCAUUCCUUAUGCUUAUUGCUUAAUCAAAGUCCAAGGGAAAAUGGGUUUCUAUAUGACAUCCUUGUCUGUUGGAUUGCAUCCCAUUGGUCAGAUCUUUUCAACUCUUAACUUUGAAUUUUUGCUUUGUGUAGUCUCUUCAUCUUCUCCCACUUCUUAAAUUUCAAAAUCUCUCCCUCUUUUCAAAACCUUUCUUUACUUGUGAUUUCAAAUUUAGACAUGUCUUAAUGGUUAGAAACUUUGGCCUUAUGCCAUUGAAUUUUCAAACUUUUUCUUAAAUCAAAUUUAUAAAUAAACUUAACCAUAUUGACUUGAAUUUAAAAAGACUAAAAGAACUAACAACCUCAUUCAAAUUUUUGGCCCAUUGUGCAUUUUUUAUUAACUUUUGCUAAAAGCAAUUCACCAACUUAUUUGAAAAUUUUAUCACGACCUACGAGGUUUUGAUCCCUCAUUUUUAUGUUGGUACGUAGGCACAAGGCCGAAGGUCUUAUCAAACACAAAAAUAUAAUAUAUGCAUUCUUUUCUCAUCCCCACACUCUAUUUUUAUCAAACAUAUUUUAUACCAAAAACACAUGCACACAUAAAAAAGGGCUCCCUAUGAGUACCUAGGACACUUUGGGUGCUAACACCUUCCCUCUGUGUAACCAACCCCCUUACCUGUAAUCUCUGGCAUUUUAUUAGUUUUGAUUUGGAAAACUUCUUAAUCUUUGGCGUUUGUUUUGUACAUUUCCCUUUUCCUUUGGAAACAAUAAAAGUGCGGUGGCGUCUCUGGUUUUAUUGACGUUAAGCUUAUCCAUAGAUUGAUGGUCAUGAAUUUACCACUACAGUUAGUAAACUCUUUAUUCUGUUGGUUUGGGAUGCAUAAAGUUCUCCAAUAGUUAGUUUGACAUUUGAUUUUCUAGGUGCUUGGGGAGCAGCGGGGGCUCCUUUAUGAUAACCCGGAGGAACUGCAGGUGUUGGGUUUGGAGCAAAUAAAGCAUUGUUGCUCUUGUAGGAAAAAUUAGGAUGGUUUCUCCAAUCAGGGUUAUAGGUGCUUGAGUAUGGGUUCCCUUGGGCAUAAUUUACUUGGUCAGUUGGAAUAACAGCCAAUAAAUGACAUUCAUCAGUGUUGUGCCCAGGUGUUCCACAUAAUUCGCAGUUGGGUGUCACAACAGUUACGGUAGUUGUUGGAGUUACGGUCAAACUUUCAAUCUUUUGGGUAAGUGCGUCCACUUUAGCAUUGACACGGUCUAUGCCAUUAACUUCAUACAUUUCUCUCUUUAGUGGCAGUUUAUCUGUAGGUGUUCGCUCACCUUCCCAUUGGAAGUGAUUUUGUACGAUAUUUUUAAUAAGUUGAUAGGCUUCUUCGUAAGGUUUAUCCAUUAGAGCACCACCAGCGGUAACGUCUAAAUUCAGCUUAGUGUUAUACAAUAUAGCAUUGUAGGAAGUAUGGAUAAUUAGCCACUGCUCAAUUCCGUGAUGGGGAUAAAGCCUCAGUAUAUCCUUGUAUCUCUCCCACGCUUCGAUAAGAGAUUCAUCGUCUUUCUACCUAAAUUCCUUGAUUUGGGCUCUUAGCGUAGCAGUUUUGCUAGGUGGGAAAUAUUGUGCUAAGAAGACUUUCUUCAACUUGUCCCGCGUAGUGAUAGAGUUGGAUAGUAAAGACUGGAGCCAAGCUCUUGCUCCAUCUCUUAAAGAAAAAGGAAAGAGACAUAGUCUUAUGGCUUCGGGAUUAACACCAUUUGCUUUCAUUGUGUCUGCAUAUUGUACAAACACUGAUAAAUGAAGGUUCGGAUCAUUCGUAGGGCUACCAGAAAAUUGGUUUUGUUGUACGACUUGUAAAAGCGAAGGUUUUAACUCGAAAUUGUUUCGGUCGAUUGUAGGGGCAAAUAUGUUAUUGUGUGGCUCUUCUUGUGAUGGAGCAGCAUAGUCUCGAAGUGGAAGGUUCAGAUUUUCGGCCAUAAUCGGUUCUGGAAUAUCCGAGUCAUGGAUGUUGUAUUUCAAACGAAACUCUUUGAUUCGGUGUAUUAGUAUUAUAUAACGCUCUACUUCUUCAAUCAGAUGUUCCAACACUUCGCCUUGUGAGCGAGUGUUUGGCAUACAACCGACAAAUAAACGGUUGCCUUAGUCUAUACGGUGCAAUGACGGAGUCACACUAUUGACUAAAUUAGUCCCCGACAACGGCGCCAAAAAUUUGAUCGCGACUUUAUGAGUCUAUCGGAUUAUCUAACUGCAAGUAUACAGUCUAUCACGUAGUUUUAAAAGAUAUCGAAUCCACAAGGACUAAUAAUCAAUCUAGUAUUAUCAAUUGAUGCAAUAUAAAGGUAAAGCUAUUAAUUACUUAAUUCAUACGUAAUUAAAAACUAGAAUUGGAAUAGGAUUUAGGAAAAUAUCAAGAAAAGGAGGCCGAAAUAUGGAUUUCGUGCACCUCAUGGACUCUGUAACUCAUUAGCGUUUGUUUUAUGUUAAGUUUCUUUUAGUAGGAACUACCAGUUUAUAAACUUUAUCUCACACACUCGCGCUAUUGAUUAAAGUUACACCCCAUAACCAUGAGAUUCUGCUCUCGCUCGACCAUUUCAAUUAAGAAGCUUUUUUUGAAAACUAAAUAAGUCCUAAUUGAUGCCUAAAGCGCUCUCACUGUAAUUAGGAUCAAUGCCCAGUUUCCAUUAUCCGGUUCAACUCUCACACUCUCGCGCUAUCGACUCGAACCUUAAUUGUUUUUCAGUCUCGUGCAAAAACGAUUGAAUUAGACUUGAAAACUAAAGCCAGAAAAAUAAUUUAAGAAAAGUUUACGCCAAAUUCAUUACCGAGUCCCGUCGGAACGACGGUCCUCACAUACCGGACUCAAAGACGUUUAGGUGGACAUGGAGUUAAACUUAAACAAACUAAACAUGGUAAUUGAAAUUAAAGACAUCAUGGUAAUCGAAUUAAAAUGCGAUAAACGGAAAUAUAAAGCAAUAACGUAAAAAUCGGAAAACUUGAAUUAAAUUUUUAGAAACUUCAAAUACACGAAUGGAAAUAAAUGAUUUCAAUUAUGUUGGCAGACUUGUGAUCCAAGAGUACAGAAAAUUAAACUAAAGCUGUGAUAACCUCUCGAUGUGAGCGGUUAUCACUUUGAAUGCAAUAUCUGCCUAAAACUAAAAGCAACAAAGCUUUCGCAUAAUACUUGGAUGUCUAAAACUCCUAAAACAAUGUCUUAUAUAGAGUCCCAAUGUUGUAGAACCCUUUCCAAACAUGUAGAAUUUAGUCAAGAGAAUGUACGAAUGUGGGAAAGAAUGAGUCAGGUUGGUUUUUCCACUUUCUGUUACUGUGCACGUAUGGAGAACGCCAUGAGCUUAAGUUGGAUGAUGAUGUGGCUGGGUGCAUGGUGAACGCCAUAAGGUGAUGGUGAAUGCCAUGCACUAGAAACUUGUUUUUUCUGCAUUUUUCUCCCUUUUCUUGCUCCUUUUUCUAUUUCUACGCGUGGACCCUCUAUAAUUGACAAGUAUAUGAAAUGAAAACAAAACAUGCCAUAAAAGUAAUAAAACAUGAUAAAACGACACUAAAUAGCAUGUGAAUCGGGUCAAAAUAUACGAUACAUUUUCGCAUUAUCAAACUCCCUCACACUUAGACCAUUGUUUGUCCUCAAGCAAUAAACCAACACAGUAAAACAAAAUAAGCUCGGCCUAAAACAAAGGCGCAACAUAAUAAGAUAUGGGCCACAUACACUUAAGUAGGCCUUUUAGCUUGCAGCCCACACAAGUGGUUCUAUAAAUAGAACCUUUGUGUAGAAGCAUUUCUGCAGUUGCAAUUUUGUUUCUCUCUCUCUCUCUCUCUCUCACUCAAAGCCUUCAUUCGUAGCAGCUAGCACUGAGAUUGAAGGAAUCCGUUUGUGUGGACUGAGUAGAGGCGUUGUCAUCGUUCAACGUUCGUGAUCGCUCCGUAAAAGCCUUCAUUCGUAGCAGCUAGCACUGAGAUUGAAGGAAUCCGUUUGUGUGGACUGAGUAGAGGCGUUGUCAUCGUUCAACGUUCGUGAUCGCUCCGUAGAUCUGCAUCAAAGGUUUCAAUCGUCAUAAGAGGUAACGAUUUUAUCACUGAUCAUGGUCAUUCGUAAGGAUCACUAGAGGAGAAUUUUUUAUAAAAUUCCGCUGCAUUUUGGAUCGCUCUUCUUCUUCAAUGACCACUUCCCAAUUUCAUAUGCAUGGCUUCAUGUUACACUUUCAACAUCACUCAUGAUCAUCUUUGGACCUUUUGACAUCAUUUUAUGGGCCUAUCACACACCCAUGCAAGCAUGCACAUGAGAAUUACUAUUUUUGGCAUUUGAAUGGAAGUGUGUGGAAAUCAAUUGCCAAGCCUAUAAAUACAUUGCCUCAUGCUCAGAAUUAUGGACACCUUUCCCGAGCUUUGUUUCUGCAACCUUCUUGUCACCUUUAGAGGAUAAACUUGAAGGUUUUUAAUUGAAAAUCGAGUUUCAAUUUCACUUCUUUUUUGAAGUUGAAACUCCAAGAAUCCGAGCCAUUUGAGCUCUCAAUUCACCUCCUGCAAUCAAGUGGAAGCAAGCCCAGGCAAAUUGAGAUCCAGAUCGAGCCUCAUCACUAUAAAUAGAAGGUGAAAUUUUCCAAACUUUCUCUUUUCGAUUCUCUCUCAAUUCUUCAUCAUUCUCUUUGAUUUUUGAUUGGCUGAAGUCCUACCAAUGUAGGCAACAAGAUUGAGUUGUUUUGAGGUCAAAUCGAAGCAACUCAGAUCAUGAACCUCAAAUUUUCAAAUCCAUGUAUCUUUCAAUAUACUUGGAAUUGGAAGACAUUGAGGUCAGAUUCGUGCUCCUGAGCAUUUUUCCUUCAAAAACAUGUACUCACUUUUCAUUUUUCAUUUGGUUGAGGGUGGACCAGUACGGUGAGAUCCACCAGAGAAGAUGACCGGAGCUAGAGCUUCGGUGGUGUGUUGGCAUGACCUGAACCAUCUGAUCUCACAUCCACGUUUUAAUCCUGACCCUUGUUUUGUUUGACUCAUGUUACUACCCGUUUGACUCGGGUGUUUGGUGCACUCUAGUGCGUGGCCAUCAGAUUUACCACCUCAAUUGAUGAGGGCGAUCUGAUGGCCCUUGUUUUUUUGAAUUUCUUUUUAUUUUCUGAUUUUUCAUUUAAUCCAUUUAUUUUGUUUAAUUCAUAUUAAUUUCAUUUUUAAUCCAAAAAAUAUGGGACUUUCACCAAAAAUCUUUAAAUAUUUUUCUCAUCCAUACUCUAAAUUAAAAUUAUUUUUGGAUUAAUUUUGAUAUUUUUCAUGAAUUAAAUGUUUUUAUGCAUAUUUUUAAUUGUUUAAAAAUACUUCUGACUUUUUAAAAAUUGUGAAAUUUUUUGUCAAAGGUCCUUUGACCUUGUUUGACCUAGGAUAAAUCCCUUGGUCAUUUAUUUGGUAUUUUGAAGGGAUUUUAUGUUUUGACCAAAUUUAAAUGCAUUUUAAUCCAUUUUUAAUUGAUUAAAUGUAUAAAAAAUUUGUUGAGUCAUUUUUAUGGUCUUUUGUUGUUUUACUUUCUGUUUGGGUCUUGGUCACGGUUAAUUUGACUUUUGUUGGAUCAAAACCAUUGGAUUUAGGGGAUUGAUGAAAUGUACAUUUCAUCUCCCAAAAUGAAUGGAUUGUUUUGAUUUGAUGAAAUUCCUCCCAUGAUCAAUUUGUUUUUCUAUCUUCCCCUCCCUCUUCAUCUUCAUCCCUAUUCUUCCUUGUUCCCUCAUUUGACCAGUGAAAUCUCUAAUGUCAAAAGGCUAAUUGAUUCAUCAAUGACCUUGUGUCAGAUGAAUCAAUAUAAGUAUGACUGAGAUAGGUCCUUCCCAUUUCCUUUUAGUGUGUGGUAUGUUUUAGGAGUUUGGUUCUUUGUACCAAAUCUCUGACAUGCAUUAACACCCAUAUUUUUAUUGUCCGGCCUAAGAUAUUUGUAGCUUCUAGAUAAGAUCAAUUACGAUUGCUUAGCAUAGAGCUAAAUUUGACCCUCAAGGUAUGGCAUUCUAGUAAGUGAGAUUGUAAGUCUCCCAUUCUUCAUGGAAUUGUGUGGAGACUUGACAUUUUUUCCUUUCAUGGGAGCUAAUGGCAUACUUGUUGAAUUAUCCAAGUUGGAGCCAUUCUCAUGGAAGAUGUCUUGAUUUAAGGAUUCAUACUUCUGAAUGAAUGGUUGAGUGUUCUCCAAAGAAUGACUUAAUCAAUUAAAAAUCAUCACUAACACUUGACUAACUUUUGAAUAACAUUUGACUAACUCUUGUUAAUAUUGCUUUACUUUCAAGUCAUUUACUAUUAUGCAAUUUAAAUUUCAGUCCUUUAUCAUUCAUUGCCAUUUACAUUUCAUAUAACUUGUUUAUGUUUAUGUCCUUUUCACUUUACUCAUUUGAGCAAUAUCUUGUGAUCGUAUAUUUUGUUUGUGUGUUUUGAUUUUGUUUGUGGUCUUAGGACCUUAAAAUACCUAAUAACAACAAAACCGCUAAAAACAUCUGGUGGACUAUUAAACUUGAUUUGAACUUUUGGACUUAGGAUUAGGCAACAUUCCCUGUGCUAAAAGGACUUGGCCAAUGCCAACAUCUUGAUACUGAGAUAUUUUGAGUUUUGCCUUCAUCUGAUACAAGCCUUGAGAGCUCCUUGGGUUCAUCUGUUACUCUGUCUUUGUGCUUAAUUGUUGUUUUGAUCUUGUGUAUGAUGUUUUGUUCUAAGUUGAUCAAGGAAUUUUUCAUCUGGUACAUUGAAAGACAAUGAAGACUGCUAGCUAUUGGAAUGUUUGCUUGGAUGUGGCCAUCUUUAUUUGAUGCCCCUGAUCUUUAUGAUGUCUGGAUAUUGCUCAUUGCUUAUGCUUAUUGCUUAAUCAAAGUCCAAGGGAAAAUGGGUUUCUAUAUGACAUCCUUUUCUGUUGGAUUGCAUCUCAUUGGUCAGAUCUUUUCAACUCUUAACUUUGAAUUUUUUCUUAGUGUAGUCUCUUCAUCUUCUCCCACUUCUUAAAUUUCAAAAUCUCUCCCUCUUUUCAAAACCUUUCUUUGCUUGUGAUUUCAAAUUUAGACAUGUCUUAAUGGUUAGAAACUUUGGCCUUAUGCCAUUGAAUUUUCAAACUUUUUCUUAAAUUAAAUUUGUAAAUAAACUUAACCAUAUUGACUUGAAUUUAAAAAGACUAAAAGAACUAACAACCUCAUUCAAAUUUUUGGCCCAUUGUGCAUUUUUUAUUAACUUUUGUUAAAAGCAAUUCACCAACUUAUUUGAAAAUUUUACCACGAUCUACGAGGUUUUGGUCCCUCAUUUUUAUGUUGGUACGUAGGCACAAGGCCGAAGGUCUUAUCAAACACAAAAAUAUAAUCAUUGCAUUCUUUUCUCAUCCCCACACUCUAUUUUUAUCAAACAUAUUUUAUACCAAAAACACAUGCACACAUAAAAAAGGGCUCCCUAUGAGUACCUAGGACACUUUGGGUGCUAACACCUUCCCUCCGUGUAACCAACCCCCUUACCUGUAAUCUCUGGAAUUUUAUUAGUUUUGAUUUGAAAACUUCUUAUCUUUGGGUUUUGUUCGUACUUUUCCCUUUUCCUUUGGAAACAAUAAAAGUGCGGUGGCGUCUCUGGUUUUAUUGACGUUAAGUUUAUCCAUAGAUUGAUGGUCAUGAAUUUACCACUAUAGUUAGUAAACUCUUUAUUCUGUUAGGUUUGGGAUGCGAUAAAGUUCUCCAAUAGUAGUUUGACAUUUGAUUUUCUAGGUGCUUGGGGAGCAGCGGGGGCUCCUUUAUGAUAACCCGGAGGAACUGCAGGUGUUGGGUUUGGAGCAAAUAAAAGAUGCGAUAAAGUUCUCCAAUAGUAGUUUGACAUUUGAUUUUCUAGGUGCUUGGGGAGCAGCGGGGGCUCCUUUAUGAUAACCCGGAGGAACUGCAGGUGUUGGGUUUGGAGCAAAUAAAGCAUUGUGGCUCUUGUAGGAAAAAUUAGGAUGGUUUCUCCAGUCAGGGUUAUAGGUGUUUGAGUAUGGGUUCCCUUGGGCAUAAUUUACUUUGUCAAUUGGAAUACCAGCCAAUAAAUGACAUUCAUCAGUGUUGUGCCCAGGUGUUCCACAUAACUCGCAGUUGGGUGUCACAACAGUUACGGUAGUUGUUAGAGUUACGGUCAAACUUUCAAUCUUUUGGGAAAGUGCGUCCACUUUAGCAUUGACAUGGUCUAUGCCAUUAACUUCAUACAUUUCACUCUUUAGUGGCAGUUUCUCUGUAGGUGUUCGCUCACCUUCCCAUUGGAAGUGAUUUUGUGCCAUGUUUUUAAUGAGUUGAUAGGCUUCUUCGUAAGGUUUAUCCAUUAGAGCACCGCCAGCGGCAACGUCUAAAUUCAGCUUAGUGUUAUACAAGAUACCAUUGUAGGAAGUAUGGAUAAUUAGCCACUGCUUAAGUCCAUGAUGGGGAUAAAGCCUCAGUAUAUCCUUGUAUCUCUCCCACGCUUCGAAAAGAAAUUCAUCGUCUUUCUACCUAAAUCCCUUGAUUUGGGGUCUUAGCGUAGCAGUUUUGCUAGGUGGGAAAUAUUGUGUUAAGAAGACUUUCUUCAACUUGUCCCGCGUAGUGAUAGAGUUGGAUAGUAAAGACUGGAGCCAAGCUCUUGCUCCAUCUCUUAAAGAAAAAGGAAAGAGACAUAGUCUUAUGGCUUCGGGAUUAACACCAUUUGCUUUCAUUGUGUCUGCAUAUUGUGCAAACACUGAUAAAUGAAGGUUCGGAUCAUUCUAGGGCUACCAGAAAAUUGGUUUUGUUGUACGACUUGUAACAGCGAAGGUUUCAACUCGAAAUUGUUUCGGUCGAUUGUAGGGGCAGCAAUGUUAUUGUGUGGCUCUUCUUGUGAUGGAGCAGCAUAGUCUCGAAGUGGAAGGUUCAGAUUUUCAGCCAUAAUCGGUUCUGGAAUAUCCGAGUCAUGGAUGUUGUAUUUCAAAUGAAACUCUUUGAUUCUGUGUAUUAGUACUAUAUAACGCUCUACUUCUUCAAUCAGAUGUUCCUACACUUCGCCUUGUGAGCAAGUGUUUGGCAUACAACCGACGAAUAAACAGUUGCCUUAGUCUAUACGGUGCAAUGACGGAGUCACACUAUUGACUAAAUUAGUCCCCGACAACGGCGCCAAUAAUUUGAUCGCGACUUUAUGAGUCUAUUGGAUUAUCUAACUGCAAGUAUACAGUCUAUCACGUAGUUUUAAAAGAUAUCGAACCCAUAAGGACUAAUAAUCAAUCUAGUAUUAUCAAUUGAUGCAAUGUAAAGGUAAAGCUAUUAAUUACUUAAUUCAGACGUAAUUAAAAACUAGAAUUGGAAUAGGAUUUAGGAAAAUAUCAAGAAAAAGAGGCAGAAAUAUGGAUUUCGUGCACCUCAGGGACUCUGUAAUUUAUUGGCGUUUGUUUUAUGUUAAGUUGCUUUUAGUAGGAAUUACCAGUUUAAAAACUUUAUCUCACACUCUCGCGCUAUUGAUUAAAGUUACACCCCAUAUGUUGGUGUAAGCCCUAGAGGCCAAUACUUUUGGUACUUGUAUCGAAUUAUUUAUUAAUAAUAAAAGGCAUUUUCUUUGUUAUGGUUGAUUAAUAAAGUCCCUGGAAUAGAUAGUCCGUUUAAUGUAUUAAGUGUGACUUAAUCAUGAGAACACAUUGAACAUAAGGACACUAUUCUUAAAGUAUCCAUAGUCGAGCUUUAGUGUGUGCAUGGUGGAACCCAUAAGGUGAUGUGAAUGCCCAUGCAACUAAAAACUUGGUUUUUCUGCAUUUUUCUCCCUUUUCUUGCUCCUUUUUUUCUAUUUCUAGCCCGUGCUUGGACCCUCUAUAAUGACAAGUAUUAUUGAAUGAAAACAAAAACAUGCCAUAAAAGUUAAUAAACUAUAAAACGACACUAAAUAGCAUGUGAAUCGGGUCAAAAUAUCAUACAUUUUCGCAUAUAUCAAACUCCCUCAACUUGACCAUUGUUUGCCUCAAGCAAUAAACCAAACACAGGUGUAAAACAAUAAGCUCGGCCUAAAACAAAGCGCACAUAGAUAAGAUAUGGCCACAUACACCUCUAAGUAGUAGCCCUUUUAGCUUGGCAGCCAACAAGUUCUAUAAAUAGAACCUUUGUGUAGAAGCAUUUCAUCAAGUUGCCAAUUUUGUUUCUCUCUCUUCUCUCUUCUCUCACUCAAAGCCCAUUCGUAACAGCUAGCACUGUAGAUUAAGGAAUCCGUUGUUGGACUGAGUAGAGCUUGGUUCAUCGUCAACCACCAAAAACCACCGUGUUCGUAUCGCUCCGUAGAUCUGCAUCAAAGUUUAAUCGUAUAAGAGUCGGUAACGAUUUUAUCACUGAUCUGGCUUCGUAAGGAAUCACUAGAGAAAUUUUUAUAAAAUUCCCUGCAUUUUGGAAUCGUCUUCUGUCUUCAAUUGACCACUUCCCAAUUUCAAGGCAUGGCUUCAUGUACACUUUCAACAUCCGCGAUGAUCACUUGACCUUUGACCAUCAUUAUGCGCUAUCACACACCCAUUGCAAGCAUGCACAUGAGAUUUACAUUUUUGGCAUCAAAAAAAACGUGAAUGGAAAAGUGUGUGGAAAUCAAUGCCCAAGCCUAUAAAUACAGCCUCAUGCGCAGAAAUUAUGGACACCUUUCCCGAGCUUUGUUUCUGCAACCUUCUUUUCACCUUUAGAUAAACUUGAAGUUUUAAUUGAAAUCGAGGUUCAAUUCACGGCUUUUUUGAAGUUUGAAACUCCAAGAAUCCCGAGCCAUUUGAGCUUCAAUCACCUCCUGCAAUCAAUGGAAGCAAGCCCAGGCAAAUUGAAUCCAGAUCGAUGCCUCAGUCACAUAAAUAAGACAGGUGAAAAUUUUCCAAACUUUCUCUUGUCGUAUUCUCCUUCAAUUCUUCAUCAUCUCUUUGAUUUUUGAUUGGCCUGAGUUCCUACCGAUGUAGGCCAACAAGAUUGAGUUGUUUUGAGGUCAAAUCGAAAGCAACUCAGAUCAUGAACCUCAAAUUUUUCAAAUCCAUGUAUCUAUCCAAUAUACUUGGAAUUGGAAGCAUGAGGUCAGAUCGUGCGUCCUGCAGCAUUUUUCCGUUCAAAAAAUGUACUCACCUUUUCAUGUUUUCAUUUGGUUGAGGUGGACCAGUACGUGAGAUCCACAGAGAGUGAUGACCGAGCUAGAGCUUCAGCGUGUUGUUGGCAUGACCUGAACCAGCUGAGCUCUCACAUCCACUUUAAUCCUGACCCUUGUUUGUUGACUCAUGUUACCUACCCGGUUUGACUCGGUGUUUUGGCACAUCUAGUGCGUGGCCAUCAGAUUUACCACCUCAAUUAUUGAGGCGAUCUGAUGGGCCCUUGUUUUUUUGAAUUUCUUUUUAUUUUCUGAGUUUUCAUUAAUCCAUUUAUUUGUUUAAUUCAUAUUUAAUUUCAUUGUUUAAUUCCAAAAAUAUGGGAACUUUCACCAAAAAUCUUAAAUAUUUUUCCAUCCAUACUCAAGAUGGUAGAAAUUAUUUUGGAUUAAUUUGAUAUUUGUCAUGAUUGAAUUAAUGUUUAUUUUGCCAUAUUUUUAAUUGUUUAAAAAAUACUCUGAUUUUUUAAAAUUGGUGAAAUUUUUUGUCAAAGGUCCUUUGUGACCUUGUUGACCUAGGAUACAACCCUUUGGUCAUUACUUUGGUAUUUUGCAAGGAUUUUAUGUUUUGACCAAAUUAAAUGCAUUUGUAAUCCAUUUUAAAUUGAUUAAAUGUAUAAAAAAUGUGUUGAGCAUUUUUGUAUGCGUCUUUUGUUGUGUUUACUUCUGUUUUGGUCUUGGUCACGGGUUUAAUUUGACUUUGUUGGAUCAAAACCAUUGAUUUAGGGAUUGAUGAAUGAUACAUUUCAUCUCCCCAAAAUGAAUGAUUGUUUUGAUUUGAUGAAAUUCCCCCAUGAUCAGAUUGUGUUUUCAUAUCUUCCCUCCCUCUUCAUCUUCAUCCCUUUCUUCCUUGUUCCCUCAUUUGACCAGUGAAAUCUCUAAUGUCAAAAGGCUAAUUGAUUCAUUCAAUGGACCUUGUGUCAGAUGAAUCAAAUAAGUAUGACUGAGAUAGUCCUUCCCAUUUCCUUUAGUGUGUGGUUGUUUUAGAGUUGGUUUUGAUACCAAAAUCUCUGACAUGCAUAACACCCAAAUUUUAUUGUCCGCCUAAGAUGUGUAGUUCUUAGAUAAAUCAAUUACGAUUGUUAGGCAUAGAGCUAAAUUUGACCCUCAAGGUAUGGAUUUCUAGUAAGUGAGAAUUGUAAGUCUCCCAUUCAUUCAUGGAAUUGGGUGGAGACUUGACAUUUUUUCCUUCAUGGAGCUAAUGGAAACAUUGUUGAAUGUAUUCCAAGUGGAAGCCAUUCGCAUGGAAAGAUGUCUUGAUUAAGGAUUCAUACUUCUGAAAUGAAUUGGUUGAGUGUUCUCCAACAGAAUGACCUUUAAUCAAUUAAAAAUGAUCAUCACUAACACUUGACUAACUUUUUGAAUAACUUUGACUAACUCGUGUGUUAAUAUUGCUUUACUUUCAAGUCAUUUACUAUUUUGCAAAUUAUAAAUUUACAGUCCUUUAUCAUUCAUUGCCAUUCUACAUUUCAUAUAACUUGAUUUUAUGUUUUAUGUCCCUUUUCACUUUUACUCAUGCUUGAGCAAUAUCUUGUGAUCGUCAUAUUUUAGUUUGUUGUUUGGAUUUUGUUUGUGGUCUUAGGACCUAACAUACCUAAUAACAACAAAACCGCUUAAAAAUCUAGUUGUGACUAUUAAACUUUAUUUGAAACUUUUGGACUUAGGAUUAGCAUUCCCUGUGCUAAAGGACUUGGCAAUGCCAAAUCUCUUGAUACUGGAGAUAUUUUGAUGUUAUGCCUUUCAUCUGAUACAAGCCUUUUGAGAGUCCCUUGGUUCAUCUGUACUCUGUCUUUGUGCUAAUUGUUGUUUUGAUCUUGUGUAUGAUGUUUGUCUAGUUGAUCAAGGAAUUUUCAUCUGGUACAUUAGAAAGACAAUGGAGACUCUAGCUAUUGGGAAUGUUUGUUGAUGUGGCCAUCUUAUAUUAUGCCCCUGAUCUUUAUUGAUGUCUGGAAUUGCUAUUGCUUUAUCUUAUUGCUUUAUCAAAGUCCAAGGGAAAAUGGUGUUCUAUAUGACAUCCUUUUCUGUGUGAUGGCAUCGUCAAUUGGUUCAGAUCUUUUCAACUCUAACUUUGAAUUCUUUCUAGCUGUAGUUCUAUCAUCUCCCCCACUUCUUAAAUUUUUCACAAAAAUUCUUUCUCCACUUUUCAAAACCUUUCUUUGCCUUGUGAUUUCAAAUUUAGACAUUCUUAUGCUUAGAAACUUGGCCUUAUGCCAUUGAAUUUCAAACUUUUUUUAAAUUAUAAAUUUGCAAUAACUUAAACCAUAUAUGACUUGAUUUAAAAAGAACUUAAAGAACUAACAACCUCAUUCAAAUUUUGGCCCAUGUGCAUUUUUUUAUACUUUUGUUUAAAGCAAUCACCAAACUUAUUUGAAAAUUUUUACACGACCUACGAGGUUUGGUCCCUCAUUUAUUAUGUUGGUACGUAGCACAAAGCCGGGGGAAGGCUUAUCAAACACAAAAAUAAUCAUUGCAUCUUUUCUUCUCAUCCCCACACUCCUAUUUUUAUCAAACAUAUUUUAUACCAAAAACACAUGCACACAUAAAAAAAGGCUCCCUAUGAGAACCUAGGACACUUUGUGCUAACACCUUCCCUCCGUGUAGACCACCCCCUUACCUGUAAUCUCUGGAAUUUUUAUUAGUUUUAUUGAAAACUUCUUAUCUUUGGGUUUUGUUCGUACUUUUCCCUUUUCUUUGGAAACCAUAAAAGUGCGGUGGCGUCUCUGGUUUUAUUUGACUUAAGUUUAUCCAUAGAUUGAUGGUCAUGAAUUUACCACUAUAGUUAGUAAACUCUUAUUCUGGUAGGUUUGGAUGCGAUAAAGUUCUCCAAUAGUAGUUUGACAUUUGAUUUUCUAUGUCUUUGGAGCAGCGGGGCUCCUUUAUGAAACCCGGAGGGAACACUGCAGUGUUGGUUUGGAGCAAAUAAAAAGCAUUGUGGCUCUUGUAGGAAAAAUUAGGAUUGUUUCUCCAGUCGAGGUUAUAGGUGUUUGAGUAUGGUUCCCUUGGGCAUAAUUACUUUGUCAAUUGGAAUACAGCCCAUAAAAUGACAUUCAUCAGUGUUGUGCCCAGUGUUUCCCAAUAACUCGCAGUUGGGUGUCACAACAGUUACGGUAGUUGUUAGAGUUACGGUCAAACUUUUCAAUCUUUUUGGAAAGUGCGUCCACUUUACGAUUGACAUGGUCUCUAUGCCAUUAACUUCAUACAUUUCACUCUUUAGUGCAUUUCUCUGUAGGUGUUCGCUCACCUUCCCAUUGGAAGUGAUUUUGUGCCAUGUUUUUUGAGUGAUUUAGGCUUCUUCGUAAGUUUAUCCAUUAGAGCACCGCCAGCGGGAACGUCUAAAUUCAGCUUUAGUGUUAUCACAAGAUACCAUUGUAGGAAGUAUGCGAUAAUAGCCACUUCUUAAGGUCCAUGAUGGGAUAAAGCCUCAGUAUAUCCUUGUGAUCUCUCCCACGCUUCGAAAGAAAAUUCCAUUCUUCUACCUAAAUCCUUGAUUUUGGGUCUUAGCGGAGCAGUUUUGCUAGGUGGAAUAUUGGUUAAGAAGACUUAUCUUCAAAAUUGUCCCGCAUAUGAUAGAGUUGGAUAGUAAAGACUGAGCGCAAGCUCUUGCUCCAUCUCUUAAAGAAAAGGAAAGAGACAUAGUCUUAUGGCUCGUAUAACACCAUUUGCUUUCAUUGUGUCUGCAUAUUGUGCAAACACUGAUAAAUGAAGGUUCGAUCAUUCUAGGGCUAACCAGAAAAUUGUUUUGUUGUACGACUUGUAACACGGCGAGUGUUCAACUCGGAAACUUGUUUCGGUCGAUUGUAGGGGCAGCAAUGUUAUUGUGUGGCUCUUCUUGUGAUGAGCAGCACUGUCUCGAAGUGGAAGGUUCAGAUUUCAGCCAUAAUCGGUCGGGAUAUCCGAGUUCAUGAUGUUGAUUUCAAAUGAAACUCUUUGAUUCUGUGUAUUUGUACUAGUAUAACGCUACUUCUUCAAUCAGAUGUUCUACACUUCGCCUUUGAGCAAGUGUUUGCAUACAACCGACGAAAUAAUACAGUUGCCUUAGUCAUAUAAUCGGUUGCAAGACGAGUCACACUAUUGCACCUAAAUUAUCCCCGAAACGCCGCCAAUAAAUUUUUUAUCGCGUAUUUUUAUAGUCAUUAGAUAUUAUCUUAUACAAUUUAAUGCAAAAUUACUACUCUAUCACGAGUUAUUAAAAGAUAUCGAACCCAUAAGGACUAAUAACAAUCUAUUUUAUUAUAAUUGAUGCAAUGAUAAAGUAAACGAUAGAAGUUACUAACAACGUAAGAAAAUAUAAAUUUGAAAUGGAUAGAAAAGAUCAAAAAAAAAGAGCAGAAAUAUGAUUUCGUGCACCUCAGGGACUCUUUAAUUAUUUCAGAUUUUUUUGUUUAUGUUAAGUUGCUUUUAGUAGGAUUACCAGUUAAAAACUUUAUCUCACACUCUCGCGCAGUUUGAUUAUUAAAUACACCCCAUAGUGUGUGUAAGCCCUAGGAGCCAAUACUUUUUUACUGUAUCGAUAUAUUUUAAUUAAUAAAAAAAGGCCUUUUUUUGUUAUGUGUGUGUAUUAUAUAUAAAGUCCCUUGAAUAGAUAGUCCGUUUAAUUGUAUUAAGUGUGACUUAAUCAUGAGAACACAUCUUGAUAAAAGAAGGACACUAUUCUAAAGUAUCCAUAUCCCUAGUCGAGCUUAGUGUGAAUGAAAUGAUAACAUUAAAGCAUUAAGACUAUUAUGUUGUUUAGAUCAUGAUUUCAUCUCAUGGAACAUGGAUAAAGAGUUAUCAAGUCUAACACAUAGGUAUGAAAUUAGGAGUAAUAUUUAUACCGAUUGACCCGCUAUGAGAAUACUAUAAUAGAAAAUUAUGCAAAGGUCAUAAGUUAUUCUCAUGGUGAUAAUAGUGUGUAUACCACUUUCGACCUAACCACUAUGGAUCCUAGAUGUAGAGUCGAUAGUGCUUUUAUUUGCUGAUCCAACAUUGUCCGUAACUGGAUAACCAUAAAAACAGUUGAUGGGUACCGCACGAAGCAUGUUGGAGACAAUGAGUGUCCUAGAUGGAAUUUGCAAUCCUGCGUAACAAUGAUAAAUGUCUAUGUGUCCCAAAUUGCUACAUAAAUGUAGCCAAAGGAUGACACUUCUAUACCUUGUUUGUUCAAUAUAGACAUAAAGGUGCAAAGGUUUUAUUGUAUUAUACACAUAAUUAUUAUCACAGGAGGUUUUGUCAGAUCACAUGACAAUUUCGUGACUGUGGGUAGCAGUGAUGUGUUGGCCUAGAUACCGCUCACUGUUUAUUAUUGUUAAAUUGCGUGAUUUAAUAUAAUUGCCAAGCCGCGAAAACCUUUAUCAUAGGCUCACACACAAGGAACGAAUUGAGAGAGAUAGAGUAACUAAGAAACACCUGUAAGUUAACGGAAAUGCACUUUAAGUGGGAGACGAAAAUAUGGUAAGUGAUACCUAAAUAACUUAGAGAUGAGUUUGGCAAUCAUUAAAUCAGCGCCAAAUACACUUAAGUGCGCUUUUGUCUUGAAGCUCCACCAAGCUUCUUUAAAAGAAGCAACCCUUGGGUAGAAGCAUUUGUCACUCACAUCCACUCAGCAGCAAAUUCAUAGUAGAGCUUGGAAUCUAGUUCCCUUUUCUACUUCUACUCAAAAGCCUUCAUUCAAUAUUAACAUCUAGCCUGCAAUUGAAAGGAAUCCGUAUCGUGUGGACUGAAGAGACGUUGUCAUCGUUCAACGUUCGUAUCGGGCCCUGUGAUCUGUAUCAAAGCUGUUUUAGAAUCUAUUUAUCAGAGAUCUUUGGCCGCACAGUUGAAUCCUGCCAGCAAGUCAAGGUAACGAUUUCUAUACUGAUCAACUCCCAUUCGUAAGAAUCACUAAAUGAGAGAAAUUUUUAAUCCGACUGUGGCCUUGGGAUGAAAAUUUACUCCUACAUAGUGUAUCAAAGCCACCUUACAAAACCAUGAAUCUGAUAACUGUUUUUGUUCUUGUAAUAAUAUGAUAAGACAGAAUGAAUCAACAAGGUAAAUUGAGAUCGAUCAAUUAUCAUAUAGUGUGAUAUAUUACCUGCUGAUUCAAAAUAUCGAUUUAUAUAUGUAUAGUAUGUUUCUCCGGUUUCGUUCCAUUGUCACAAACUCUACAGUAGAUUGUUUUCCUUUGACGUCGCCACAAUAUGGUCGUUGACUUCUUGAGCCCGCGACAUUAGUAUUGAGUUGACAAGCAAUCGAUGUUGUCUUCUGAUCAAUCAUACUGAAUUAACAAUCGAGAUGUGUGUGUUGCACGUCUGAAUUUAUGGGCUGCAUCAGGCUUAGUGAUCGCACAGAGAGAAGUGUAUCCCUGUGUUGUCAGAUACGUAUUAUGCGAUGGUUUGUAUUCCACAAGACGAUGUGUUUCUAAAUCAUCCUUUUAACCAUGCGAAGCAGUGUUAACGUGUUAACCGUCUGUUAAACCAGUUUAACUAUAAUACGAGAGAUAAAAGUUUUGAGAUUUUCAAACAUGUUAACCGGUUAACGCAUUGGUUAAUACCGGUUAACGCAAAGGCAGAAAACAGAUUUUCCAAAAAUAUCAACAGUGUUAACGUUAACGCAUAUAGCGUAACUCGGUAACGCCAAGGCGAAAAGAAUUUUCUAAAAAGUUUUCAAACAUGUUAACCAGUUAAACGCAUAUGUGUAACCGGUUAACCCAAGGAAAACACCCUUCCUUAGAAAAAUUUGUUCUUGAAGUUAUCGAAAUGUUGAUACGAAAACAUGUCGUCAACAAUAUCACCGGGCGUUCACUGCAUAUUGCGAUACGCACCAGUCCGCAGGUGAAAACGAGCUCUGCAUAAAUUUCACUCGAAACACCCGUUCCCGCUUGUCUGGGCAACGGAACUUUCCGGCUAACUCUUGCUAGUGUUCGAUCCUUUCUCGUUCGUACGAUAAUUUAAUUUGAGGUUUAAUUAUUAAAGAAAAUUAAUUAAUAAUAAAUAAAGGUUAUAUUGUCUUUUGUGGGAUCGGUUAUUGCCUUAGUUUCCUUUUUUUGUUUUGUGGGUUUUUUUAAAAAUCGCUCUCUCAAAUCCUAGCGCUGUGUGUCCUCUCUCUACUAAAUCUCCACAAUUGCAACUUCAUUGUUCCAUCUCACUACCCUAUGUGUAAAACGAGUUCUUUCCAUCUAAAGUAAUGAUAUAAGAAAGCAAAGAAGUGCAGUAGCCAAUGGAGGGGGGAGAGGACAACCUUGAAGACUUGCUUGAGAAAGCUAUAGAUCGUUGUAUGUUAGUCUUAGCGCUCUCAUUGCUUGGUGAGAACAUAUUUGCGGCUAGGCCCAUAACGUGUUUCUAUUAUGUAUGUAUUGUAUUUUUGUAUUCUGUUGGAAUGUAUGUUGAUGCAUUGUGAGAACUGAUUUACAUAGUAAUAAACAAUAUUACCUCGGGUAAGAUCAGAUAAAUGCUCUAAGUCCCUCAAAUAAAAUUAUCAGUUUAGCCUUUCCAAGUUUUAACACUCAUCAAGACUAGAUAGAUGGAUAAUGUAGGAUUUCGCCAUACGCGAGCUGUGCAUAGUAAUCUAAAUUUAGUAAGGUGCAGAUGGAAAUAAAUUGUAAUACCUAAUCUGUUAAAAACUACAACUGGGUCAAACUUAACAUAAACAAAUUAUAAUAAAUGGUUAUAUAUUUACUAUGUUUAGAUAGCACANNNNNNNNNNNNNNNNUAUAUAUGUUUAGAAGCAAGAGUUGGGAAUAAUCCAUAUGAUGGAUUAGAAUAAGGAGUUAUUCACCCAACUGAAAUUUUCGAGAGUUGUAUGAGAUACAAUUGGAAGGAGUUCCUACCUAAAUAACCUAGUUUUGCGUAAUCCGCCUACGCGGACUUAGAACGAAGUGAAAUGUGGAUCUCGACCCACUAGAAAAUCUUCCAACGGAAUUUUCCGAAUCAGAUGAUGAGGGUCAUUUGUUUUGAGUAAAAUAGUGGGAGCAUAUUUAAUUAAAGGCAUAAUUGAAUAUGUCAAUGAUACUUAUAUUUUCAUUAAUCCUUAUGUAGAUUACCAUGACAGCAAACAUCUCUAACAACAUCCUGCGAUCAAUCCUUGAUAAGGAAAAAUUGUCUGGGACAAAUUUUCUGGAUUGGCACCGAAACAUGAGGAUUGUCCUCAAACAUGAUAAAAAGCUGUAUGUCUUGGAGACACCUGUUCCUGAAGAGGAACCUCCUAGUUCUGCACCUAAGGCAGAAAGAGAUGCUUAUAGAAGCAUUGUCGAUGAGUCCAUUGAAACUUGCUUGUCUCAAUGCUGGCUACCAUGAAACCAGAAUUGCAAAAGCAACAUGAAGAACAUGUCCAGCAAAUCAGAUAUGAUCAACACCUGAAGUUCCUCUUAUCAGAAGAAAGCAAGGCCAUGAGAAGGUUUAAGUUUCAAAAAACGCCUUUUUCCAAAGCAGUUAGAGCUAAAAGGGGGCCCCGCUGUAGGUCCCCAUGUACUCAAGAUGAUUUUUGGGAUGUGGAAAACCUUGAAGAAUUGGGUUUUUUCCCCUCGAAAAGGAACUUGCCAACUGAUUGAUUCUUGCAAAUCGUUGGCAGAUAGUUUCAGUCAGAUUUUGUCCUAAAAUUUCAAUAUGAUUUGAUAUGGCAAAUCUCUUCCUGAACUGGCUCGCCAUGUUAAGAACUGCCGAGCAGAAUCCUGAAGUCAAAAGGGAAGUCCAUUCUGAUGAUCGAAAUGAAAAGAGACAGAACAAAAAGGCCCACUAAGCCAGAGUGAUAAGGGGAAGGGCCAAGGAAAGUUCCAAUCCCGACCCACUGCUGCUUUGAUAGCCUAGUGGAGGCCAUAGCAAAAAGAAGGCACAACUGCUUCCAUUGCGUAGACCGGACACUGAAGAGGAAACUGCCAAAGUACCUGGAAGAUAAGAAGAAUGGAUAGAGACUUCAACUUCAGGUAUUUUUUUGUUAUAAUGUAUUACUUACUGCAUCAUGGGUAUUAGAUACUGAGAUGCAGUUCUCACAUUCUUGUACAAUGUGUCAGGAACUAAAAAGGCAGUAGAGAUUUGGCAAAGGUGAAGUCGACCUACGAAUUGGCUAUGGAGCAAAAGGUUGUGCUUUAGCCGUAGGAACUUUUGUAUUGACUUUACUAGUGGUUUUAAUAAUUCAGUUAGAUGAACUGUUAUUAUGUACCUGGCAAUUAGGCAGGAAUUAUUAUUUCCAAUUGCUUGUUUGGACAAAGUUUGGUUUUCAUUUAUAAUAAAUAACAAUUGUGCUUCAAUUUUAUUUGAAUGAUAUAUUCUAUGCAACUGCCACAAAUGAACAAUGGACUAUAUGUCUUGAUCUUGAAAUGCCUAUUAAUAACAUUAAUACAAAAGGGUGAAACCUAAACGGAGUUAAAACCAACUUAGGUAAGAAUAUAAAACUUCGAUCGAUCGAAGUGGUGAGUAUUUAAUCCUAGAAGUUUGAUGACCAUGCUGAAAGAGUGUGGAUCUUAGCGCCAACUUACUCCUCCUGGAACAUCCCAAGGGGAAGGGGUAUCUGAGAGAAGAAAUGGUCGAAACCCGUUGGGACAUGGUCCGAUCCAUGAUGAGUCACACCAUCUUCCAAACUCCUUUUGAGACAUACGAGGACAAUUGGACGAGAUCAGUUGACGAUAAACACUUAACCGUGUUCCAUCCAAAGGUUAAAAAGACACGCAUAUGAGAUGGGAGUGCGUUAAGAGACCACAUAUGGUCUUUACAUGAAGAUUUGGGGUUGCGAAGUUUAUAGUGAAACGACAAAAAUUCAACUAAGCUUGAGCCCAAACUGACAAAUACUUAUUUGUGGUUCGCUGAAGAAAACAAGGAUAUAUUAUUUCUACAAUCCUUCUGAGGCAAAAUGUUUGUCGCUCGAACCUUUAGUUUUCCUAAGAAAGUGAUGUAUCCAAAGGAAUCAGUGGGAGGAAAGUAGAACUUGAAGAAAUUCAAGAAUCACAGAAGUAUCGAUACACCUAUGGAGGAAUUAGAGCAGGAAACACAAGUAGUUGUGUAAGAGCAACCUGCUCAAGUAGAACAAGACCAGUGUAGGUUCAUGCAGGAUACGUCACCGUAGCGUGAGUAUAUUGGAUAUCUGAUCAAGGUGAUGUAGUACGAUGUGGAUCAAGAUGAGCGCUAUGAAACCUACUCAUGAAUUCUUCGUUCUGAUGAAACAGUAAAACUGUAUGGAUUCAUCAAGAACGAAGAUGAGCCUUAUUUCUACAAGAAGGUUAUGGUGGGAUUGCGUGUAUCCUGGUAUUAUAUGUAGAUGACAUAUUACUCAUUUGGAAUCGAUAUCCGCUCCCUGCAGCAAGUAAAGUCUUGGUUGGGGAAAUGCUUUUCUAUGAAGGACCUAGGUGAACACCUAUAUAUAGGAAUCAGAAUCUAUAGAGAUAGAUCACAAAACUGCGGGCUAAGUUAGAGUACAUACAUAUAGACAAAGUGCUGAGACGCUUUAAUAUGAAUGAUUCAAUCUGGUUAUGUUUUGCUUAAAUGGUGGCACCGUGAGCUUGAAAAAGUUCAACGCAAGAUGCAGUUGCUGAUUCUACAAUUUGAGGUCGAGUAUAUUGCUGCUUAAGUGCAGCAAGAAGCUGUUUUGGAUCAAUAAACUUUGGCAUAGUCCCUAGCAUUAUGGAUGCCCAUUCUCUAUUAUGAUAACAAUGGUGUUAUGCGCGACAAGCUAACGGAGCCUAGAUCUCACCAACGAUCCAAACACGAUACUUAGGCAUUGUGCAAAGUAUGUAAAGUACCUACACUUGACAAUGUUGAUGACCCACUGACAAAGCCUUUCUCAGGUGAGAGAGCAUGAUGGCCAUACUAGUUCAAUGGGCAUACGGGGUAUGCCUGAUUGACUCUAGUGCUAGUGGGAGAUUGUUGGUUAAGCCCUAGAGGCCAAUACUUUUGGUACUUGUGUACUGAAUUAUUUAUUAUAAUAAAAGGCAUUUUCUUUAUUAUUGGUUGAUUAAUAAAGUCCUCGGAAUAGAUAGCCGUUUAAUGUAUUAAGUGUGACUUAAUCAUGAAACACAUUGAACAUAAGGACACUUGUAUCUUUAAGAUAUAGUCGGCUUUAGUGUUGAUUGUGAUAACAUAUGCUUAAGACUAUUAUGUUUUUAGACUUGCAUGAUCACAUCUCAUGGAUCAUGAUAAAGAGUUAUCAAGUUUAAACAUAGAUAUGAAUAUUAGGAGUAAUAUUUAUACGCGAUUGACCGCGAUGUGAGUGAGUGUGACUUAUAUAGAAAGUUAUGCAAAGUGUCAUAAGUUAUUCUCAAUGGUGAUAAUAGUGUAUACCACUCUUCGACCUGAAACCACUAUGGAUCCUAGAUGUAGAGUCGAGUGCUUUAUUGCUGAUCCAACAUUGUCCGUAACUGGAUAACCUAAAGGACAGUUGAGGGUACUCCACGAAGCAUGUUGAGGGACAUGAGGUCCUAGAUGGAAUUUGCCAAUCCUGCGUAACAGGAUAAAUGUCUAUGGCCAAUAUUGAACUGGACAAGGUGACCGACCUUGUGUUCAAUAUAGCAUAAGUCAGAAAGGGGUAAUUAUACAUAUAAUUAUUAUCACAGGAGGUUUUUCAGAUCACAUGAAUUCGUGACUUGGGUAGCAGUUGAUGUGUUGCUAGAUACCGCUCACUGUUAUUAUGUUAAUGUGUGAGUUAAUAUAAUUGCCAACGCCACGAAAACCUAUAGGGUCACACCAAAGGGACGGAUGAUGGAGAGAUAGAGUAACUAAGGAACAUCGUAAGGUAUGGUGACUUAAGUGGGAGACGAAAUAUGGUAAGGUACCGAAAUACUUAAAGUGAUUUUGGGCAUAUUAUAAGAUAUGGGCCAAAAUACACUUAAGUGGGCUUUUUUAGCUUAAAGCCCACAUAAGUGGUUCUAUAAAUAGAACCCCUUGGUAGAAGCAUUGUCACUCCAAUUUCCACUCAGACAGAAAUUCAAGUAGAGACUUGGAAUUUUGUUUCCCUCUUUCUCUCACUCAAAGCCUUCAUUCAUAACAGCUAGCACUGCGAUGAAGGAAUCCGUUCGUGUGGACUGAGUAGAGACGUUGUCAUCGCUUCACGUUGUGAUCGCCGCCGUGGAUCUGUAUCAAAGGUUUUUAUUCAUUAUCAGAGAUCUGCACCAAAGGUUUGAAUCGCCACAAGAGGUAACGAUUCUAUCACUGAUCAUGCCCAUUCGUAAGGAACACUAAAUGGAGAAAUUUUUAAAUUCCGCUGCGCCUUGGAUGGCAAUUCUCCUACACCAUAACCAUGAGAUUCUGCUCUCGCUCGACCAUUUCAAUUAAGAAUCACUUUUUGAAAACUAAAUAAGUCCUAAUUGAUGCCUAAAGCGCUCUCGCUGUAAUUAGGAUCAAUGCCCAGUUUCCAUUAUCCGGUUCAACUCUCACACUCCCGCGCUAUCGACUCGAACCUUAAUUGUUUUUCACUCUCGUGCAAAAACGAUUGAAUUAGACUUGAAAACUAAAGCCAGAAAAAUCAUCUAAGAAAAGUUUACGCCAAAUUCAUUACUGAGUCCCGUCGAAACGACGGUCCUCACAUACCGGACUCAAAGACGUUUAGGUAGACAUGGAAUUAAACUUAAACAAACUAAACAUGGUAAUUGAAAUUAAAGACAUCAUGGUAAUCGAAUUAAAGUGAGAUAAACGGAAAUAUAAAGCAAUAACGUAAAAAUCGGAAAACUUGAAUUAAAUUUUUAGAAACUUCAAAUACACGAAUGGAAAUAAAUGAUUUCAAUUAUGUUGGCAGACUUGUGAUCCAAGAGUACAGAAAAUUAAACUAAAGCUGCGAUAACCUCUCGAUGUGAGCGGUUAUCACUUUGAAUGUAAUAUCUGCCUAAAACUAAAAGCAACAAAGCUUUCGCGUAAUACUUGGAUGUCUAAAACUCCUGAAAACAAUGUCUUAUAUAGAGUCUCAAUGUUGUAGAACCCUUUCCAAACAUGUAGAAUUUAGUCGAGAGAAUGUACGAAGGUGGGAAAGAAUGAGUCGGGUUGGUUUUUUCUAUUUCUGUUACUGCGCACGUAUGGCGAACGCCAUGAGCUUAAGUUGGAUGAUGAUGUGGCUGGGUGCAUGGUGAACGCCAUAAGGUGAUGGCGAAUGCCAUGCACCAGAAACUUGCUUUUUCUGCAUUUUUCUCCCUUUUCUUGCUCCCUUUUCGAUUUCUACGCAUGGACACUCUAUAAUUGACAAGUAUCUGAAAUGAAAACAAAACACGCCAUAAAAGUAAUAAAACAUGAUAAAAUGACACUAAAUAACAUGUGAAUCGGGUCAAAAUAUACGAUACAUUUUCGUGUUAUCAAACUCCCUCACACUUAGACCAUUGUUUGUCCUCAAGCAAUCAACCAACACAGUAAAACAAAAUAAGCUCGGCCCAAAACAAAGGCACAACGAAACUAUAAUCAUACGUGGUUGCUAGGCUAUGGUUAGAUCGAUAGGUACUAGAUAUCAAUACCAAGGAUACCAUAAUUACACAUAUCCAUAUCUCAUCGUCGAACGAGGAAUCAGACGAUACGAAAUUGAAGUUCGUUGUUAUCGGAUUUCAUUGAUUUGAGCUUCAAUUGUCACCAUUUUUUCUUGGAUCUUUCUUUCGUUUCUUGAGUUUUGAACUCGGUUGCAGCUGCAUGAGGCCAUGGCUGAGUACAUGUGGGAUCCGGGUCAUGGGUGUGUCGAAAUUGGGCCGAUUGUCCAAACAGGGAUGGCCCAAACACAUUUCGGUCCAUACAUCCCCAAUAUGCCUUACCCCCAUAGUACAUGUUUAUUGUUAAUUCCCCAUUAAUCAUGAUUAACCCUUACUUAAUUUAUUCAUUUUAAUUCCAGUUUUGAUUAAUCUUGAUGAUGUCUUGUAGAUGUUAUUAGAAUUAGGCUAAUUCAUAACUUUUUUAGAAAUAAUAGGAAUUAAUAUUUUAGUGAUUAGUAGAUUAAUUCAUGGUUAAUUAUGGAUUUAAUUAGAUUAAGAAAUUAGCUUAAUCUUCAUGUGGAUUUUUUAUUUUGGUUUUUUCAGAUUUAAUUCAAUAUUAGGCUAAUCUUGCUAUGCUUGGAUUAUAAUUGGCCAUUAGGGAUUAUUGAUCUUAAUUUCAUUUUAUUCAUGAUUAAUUAAUAUGGUUAAUUGUACAUUUUUACCAUGAUUAGGUUUUAGGCUAAUUUCCAUUCGAUCCGUGUAUCACAUUAUUAUUGUUAUGAUCAUGUUCAUUAAAUGAAGUUGUGAUUUAGAUUGUUAGAUUUCCCUUUGAUUAGUUUAUUUCCUGAUUCAUGUUUAGGUAGAUUUUAAUCCUUAGGUUUAAUGUUCACUUUAAUUUUCCAUUUAACCGAUUCAUUUGGUUUGUGAUCAUAUUGAAUAAAUUAAAAAUCCCAUUUCAAUUUAGGUGAUGAAUACCUUGUAUGCCUAAUUUCAUUUGCCAUGACCACAUGAUUGAUCUUUGAUUUGUUUAUCCAUGAUUAAUCCAUUGCCAUUUGAAUUGAUUUAGAUCUUUGAAUAUGCCUACACUUGUUGUAUCAUUCUCAUUUGACUUGAUCUCAUACUAACCUCAUUUGUUGUUUGUGUCCACAUGUGACUUUGAACUUCAAGCACACUCCUAACUAGCCAUGCGUCUAACCCAUUCACUUGACUUGUAUUGUAUGGAGUACCAUGCCACUUUUAUGUUUUAGGUAUGAUACAUAGUUUGUAAUCUUGUCUAAAUUCUUUUCAUUUUCCAUUUAUGUUGUAAUGAUUCCAUCCCCCCAUGGUGGGUCACAUGUUCCCCCACCCCACGAAAAUGUAAUAGUCUAGGGUAUUUCAUUUAUUAGUUCAUCAUGCAUGCUAACUAAAAAGAUAAAAACAAACGAUAAAAAUAAAUCAUUUUAAAAGAAACAAAGGGUACUUGAUUCAACGUCAAGUUGUUUUCCAAAUAAAACUCACAUCAUUGCAACGCGAGUACUUGAUCCAACGUUAAGUAUCUGCCAUCCAUUCCAUGAUCCUUGAUCCAUCUCUUCUCCAUUCUCUUCAAUCUCAUUCUAUCUCCUCACCUCCAUUAUUCACACACAUUUUUCAUAAUAAACUCUAACACUUGAUCCAACGUCAAGUCCUUUUUCAAACCCUUUUCAUAACAAACAGAAUGCAAAAAUGGUGUGUACAUGCUUGUACACAAUAUUCAAGUACUUGGGUUGUCGGUCGUACCUAGCUUGAGGACCCGACACUUGACUUCCCCCUUAAAACAUCUAAUGAUUCGAACAAGUUAGAUCUAGGUGCUAUGAGGGAGAAAAAGGAUAGUUAGGAUACCAUUAUCCUAUCUACUCCCCAAGUAUUCUGAUUAUUGGUCGUACUUAGUCAAUGGUCAGAUACAUGUCUCCCUCUAGUUUACAAUGAUUAGACUUGCCAAACCUUUUUCACAAUUCAAAUCUCUUUUUUGGACGAAAAAGUGUGGUUAGGAUAACAUCGUCCUCUCAACUCCCGAGUUUUUGGACUGUUGACUGUAUCUAGCCAAGGUUAUGAUGCUUGUCUCCGUACUAAAAUCAACUCCAACAAAUCAAAUCAUCUUUUGCCUCAGUGCACUCUUCAAGCCUUUCAAAAAGGACGUGUUACUUUUGUUCUACCGUGAAUGACGCUUAAGCUUCCAUGUGUGAGCAAGUAAUGUUUAACUGCUAGAGUGUGAUCUAAGCGCAUCCCAUUUACCGCAAACAAGCAAAUACUUCCCGCUCCUAUGACAGAGUAUACAAGUAAGUGAACAGUAGCACACGAACGUCAACAAUGUUCAUAAAAAGAACCAAACAAACACUUCGUUUGUGAGCGGAACUACGGAGCUCUGACUUCCUCAUUGCACGUAUGAGGGUACAUAGGCACAAGGGACCAAAUCCUUGGCGAGCACACUAAAUUAAAACUUAUUCUUUCCCCUAUCUUAUUCUUAUUCAUCUCAUUCACCGAUAGCAAGCAAUGUACAAAUAAAAUACAUCCAUAUGCAUUGAUACAAGCAAAUGGUUCCCAUGGAGCACCAUGGAUGUGAGGGAUGCUAAUACCUUCCCCUUGCAUAACCAACUUUCGAAUCCGCUCUUGGUUGCGAGACCAUUCUCAUUUAGAAUUUUAUCGUUAUUUUCCCUUUCUUUUGGAAAUAAAUAAAAUCUAGUGUGACUUUGUAUUUUUCGCGGCGCGACAUAGGUCUCUAUUUUCUUGUUUGUGGCUAGUUAACUUUGCGUCAUCUCUUGUUGCACCUGACUUACUUUUAGAAAAUUCUCUUUGGUAGAAAGUAUGAACCCCUUGAGUGUUUCUUCCAACACAUACAGUUUUCGUUGAGGCACUUGAGAUUCUUGAGGUGCACCUUGACCAACAUGCAUGGUUUGAUUAUUGUUGCUCCACUUGAAAUUAGGGUGAUCCUUUCAACCGGGGUUAAACGUAUUAGAGUAAGAAUUGUUUCUUUUGAAGUUUGCAUAUUAAACCCAUGCACUCUCCAUGUUUGGAACACAAAUUCCAUUUGAAUGCUCACCUUCACAAAAAUCACAUCUCAGAGUUUGGAUACGACUUACAUUUUCCUGGUUCAACUAAGAGACAGCCCACUGUUUGGUGAGAGCCUCAAGUUUGGCUAGUAAUGUAGUUUGUGUGUCAACAGCUAACACACCUUUUCCCUUCACAACUCGCUCACUCGAGCGGUACUCGUUUUGACACAUAUUUUCAAUGAGUGUCUUGACAUCUUCAUCAGUAUUUGCUCUCGAUGUACCCCCUGCUGAGGCAUCAAGAAGCAUUCGGGUGGGCGAUGUCAAUCCACUUAUAAAGUUCGUCACUUGUUCCAUCAAACUCAUGUUGUGGUUCGGGCACUUGCGGAGUAACAACUUGAAUCUCUCCCACACAUCCGACAACGAUUCACUAAAGUUUGAAAUUGUAUCUUUUCUUUUGACAAACUGUGCAUUUGAAUAACAUAUCUUCGGGAAACUAUCUCACCAUGUUUGGAUCAUCCCAUUGGGAAGACAUCACAAUCACUCCUUCGCUCUACCAAUUAAUGAAAAUCCAAACAGAUGCAAUUUCACAUGAUCAUCAAUUACAUUUGUUGGUUUGCACAUGGAGAAGAUCUCAUAAAACUUAGCAAGGUGCUCUCAUGGGUCACGAAUGGCCUGCCCAAACGGGUUACCUCGCAGGCCCUGCAACACAUAACUCUUAAUAUUAAAAAUCACCGGAAUCGUCGGUUGGAAUCCCAUUCAUAUUUGACCAACAUCGGUUCGUCUAUAGUAAUCCCCCAACGUCUGGCGCGAUGGAUUUUCCAUUUCAAGUCCUCUUUUUGUUGUUUGGUUGCUAACAAUGCUUCGAUCUUUGCUUUAUAGAGUGUUUGUGCAAUUCUCUCUAACUCUAAAUCCAAUUGUAAAAGCGUCAAACUCGAACCUCGCAUAAAUAACAUAAAACAAUAACUUAAUAGCAAUGUUUAAUGUAGAACAUGGUAGACUCGAAGAUCAAGAAGAAUCAACAAAGAAAAAGCUCUCCAAUAACAAAUAAUACCUAACCUAAAGAGAAAUCUAACUACUCAUAUUGAAAUUAAUCAAUACCAUAAGUGUAGACUCGAAGAUCAAGAAGAAUCAACAAAGAAAAAGCUCUCCAAUAACUAUAAUGGCUUCCACAAGCUCCGAAAUCACCCAAAUCCACCACCUUCUCUCUAGGAAAUCCCACCCCAUUUUUGUUCUCCAUUUUUUCCUUUUAAAGCCCCCAAAAAGUGUCAUGACAGCGUCCUAACACUGUACACUCAGAAAAGCAACAGUCCAGUCCAUUUGGAAUUAAGAUCCCACUUUCCACCUCAAAUUAGUACAAUUUUGGUUUCAUAUCUAAGCGAACAAAAAAUUAAAUGAAAGAUAUUAAUAGUGUUGCAAACAACUGCAUCACAUUCAAUUUUCCUUUACUCUACAUAUUGUAAUAUAACAUUAUUGAAUCAAGAUAUAUUAUCACUCUGCUUUUGUUUCUUGUUCCUAGAGUUAUCUUCCUCUAAAGACUUCAACUUGUUCUUUAUUGCAGCAAUUUUCGCACCACGGCUCGUCUGUCCCAUGCCACCACCUGUGAGAUGCAACUUGUGCCCUUCACCGACUGCUUUCGUAGAGCUAUCUGCUACUUCCAGAGCAUACCUCUCACUUGCUAGGCGGACAAUCAAUGGCCGGCCACAAGCUAGCCUCCCGUGCAUUUUCUCCCUGGCCAAUAUUGCUUCCUGCAUUCUCACUUUAAUAAUAGAAAUCAGAAAUUGCUCGAAUGUGAAAGUAACUGAAGUAUGCCAUCAAUUUACCUCUUUUGCACUAUACUGAAUAAAAGCGAAACCGCGUGGUUCCCCGCGUUUUGGGCCUCGAGUGUGCCACAAGAAGUCCUCCGACACAAUCUUUCCGUAAGGAGAAAAGAUUUUGAGAAGAGCAGCUCUGGAAAAUAAUGGAACAUGAAAUAAAGAUGAGAAUAUGCACAAAACACAUGGAAAUGGGGGGGGAGGUUCCUGCCAAGUUUAAAACAACGAUCAAGGCCAUAAGAUCUAGAUAUUUUUAUGUAUUUGCAACCACGAUUGAAGCGGAACCAGUAACAAUUUAUCACGAUUCUUGCAACAACAAGGAUCGCAACGCAGCUGAAUUGUUGCUGUGAUUAAAAACUUGAUUCCUACAACCAAUUGUAAAGGCAACGGAGUUGUGUUUGGAUUUCAAUUCUUAACUCAAACCUAUGUUUCAAACAAUCUAUCUCUCUUGGUUCAUUGACUCAAACGUUAUGUCUGCACAUUUGAGCUCUUGCAAUUGAAAUCCAAACACAUUUAAAAUAAUCAAAGAGUCAAAAGUGUUCAUUAAAAAAAGUGUGCAGUAUUCAAUACAUUGGUAACUCGAAAAAAAACCUAAACUUUUCAAAGCAUACUACCUGUCUUUUAUUCCUUAAUCAAACCUUCAUAAGAAAUGUUACCAUUUUCCAAAAAAACAAUGAAUCCAUGUUGGGGGUUAGCGAGUCUCACUCUGUAAUUCUGAGAUCAAGAUUGCCGAUGUAGAGUCUAUUGUCACCGUUAUCAUCAAUUGAAACUUUAGAAUCCUUCAUUCAGUAAUACAUCAAAAUAAGUGUCAGAAUACAAUAAGAUGGGAAAUAUCACAAUCGACCAGAUUAAUUUUGCAAAUCAGACAACAACAACCCAGCUUUAUAGAGGCGGCUACAUGAGACAAUUUCCGUCAUAGUGUUCUAUCCAGGACAAUGUUUCUAUCUAAAUCAUUAAUUUCGAAAUCUUUCUUAACAACUUCUCUUAUAAUUUUUUUAGAUCUUCCUCUACCACUACAUGUUUGACUACUCUGCAUCUAAUCUACUCUUCUUGACACAUAAUCUAUAAUAACCCUACAUGUCUUCUCUCCAUAAAACUAAUAAAACUACACCAAACAUUGAACAUACCAUGGAAGCAAAUGAGGCGAUUGAAACUUCAAUCAAAACACCCAAGCAUCAAAUGUGCACCACCCUGCAAAUGUAAUAUCAAGCAUAAAAAUAAAGUCUUUACAUCUUAUUCAAACUUAUCAGUGUAAAAUCAUCACUUAGCUAACAACUAAACUUUGAACUACAAGACUUCAAAAUGCAAGAACGUGAAAAACUUCAAAUUUUCUUACAACACAAUACACUUCUGAAAAAUCCCAUUUCAUUUAGACCUAAGGCUAUGAAUCAAAACGAACAACAAUACAAAGAAAUCACAAGUUAUUAUUCACUGCCAGUGAUUAACAUUGAAUCCGUUAUUCCCGAAAUUCUAUCUAAUCAAAUUAUUUUUUUCAAAAUUGAGGUAGUGAAAGAUGAUUGUGGAAGCCGAUAAAUUGAGGUUACCUUAUUGAAGAAUUGAAGUGUUGAUUGUAGGUAGCCGAUGCAAAACAAACUAGUUAGGGUUUUGUUCUCUUUCUCCAAGGACGAACAAAGGAGGUCGCGUGGAAUUGGGCUGUUAAUGAUCCAUGAUGCAAUUACUACAUUCACCCUAAGAUGGGAUUUACUCAUGUCAUCUCGUAGAAUGCGUCACACGCCUCUAAAAAAAUCCAAAAAUACUUUAGUAUGUUCAUAGUUGUACCUUAGAAAAUUAUAAAAAUAUUUUUGAUGUGUUCGGAGAUACAUCUUUGAACGCAGACCAAAAACGGUAUUGUAUGUGAGACAUCCCCAUUUUACUAAAAUUUAGUUUAAAAAUAUAUCUUUGUUAGAAUUUAGAACCAUAAGAUUGGUGAGUAAUAGAGAAAAUUAGAGUGUGGCGAGGAAAGAGGAAAUAAGAGAGAGAUAAUUGAGGGUGAGAAUAUUUCGUUCACAUUGAAGAGAAUACCUCCAAGACAUUUAUACAAACAUUACAUAAUGAUUGGGAUACAUGUCACAUAACUAAAUAAUUAAAAAAAUAAAAAACUCGGACCUGUAACUGGUUACACUAAAUCUGUAACCGGUUAUCGCUUUUAUAAAAUUAAUUAUCUUUCAGUGGUAACCAGUUACGUGAUUAUGUUAAUCGGUUACGCUCACGAAUCUUUUCCUGUUUCUCAACUGCAUAAGUGAUUUUUGCAUUGGUUUAACUGGUUACACCCCAUAUUAACUGGUUACAGGACUUGAGUUAUCAAAAUACUCUUAACGCGCCACCUUAAUUCAAGUUCUCCAAGUCUUCAAUGCCCAUGUUCAUCUCCAACUUGUUGUUGUAAGUAAACUCGAUCAAUGACAAGUAGUUAUCCCAAGCACCUCCUUGUUCUGUCACACAAGCUCUCAACAGAUCCUUCAAGGAUUAGAUAGUCCUUUUAGUCAUACUUUCGAUCUAUGGAUGAUAAGCAUAACUCAACUUCAGCUUAGUACUCAUCACUUCCUACAAACUCUACUAAAACUUCUAUGUGAAUAUUGAAUCUCUAUCUGACACAAUACUCGAAGGUAUACCAUACAAGCUAACAACCUUAUCAAUUUACAACUCGGCUAACUUCUGCAAAUGAUAACUGAUCUUAAUCGGUACAAAAUGUGUCGAUUAAGUCAUUCUAUCAACAAUAGUCCAAAUGGAAUCACAUCAUUGCAUCGUCUUCGGAAAACUUGUCAUAAAAUCCAUGGAAAUGAUAUCCCAUUUCCACUCAAGAAUAUUAAACGGUUUCAUUAGUCCCAACAACUUUUGAUGUUCAUUCUUUGACUUCUGGCAAUUCAAACAAGCAUAAACAAACUCAAUUACUUCCUUCUUCAUUCCUGGCCAACAAAAUAUUAUCUUCAAAUCUUGGUACAUCUUAAUGGUACCGAGAUGAAUACUCAGACCAUUCUUAUGAUCUUCCUCAAGAAUACUCUUCUUAAAUUUUGAUACAUUUGUUACGCAAACUCUGUCUCUGAAUCUCAUCUCACCAUUCUCAUCGAUCCUAAAAUCACAUCUUUUACCUUGGUUAAUUAACAUUAAUCGGUUGAUCAAUCUCAAGUUGAUUCCAUGACCCUCUCUGAUUUAUUCAAGGAUACCACUAGUCAGCUUCAACAUACCCAACUUCACUCUGUUAGGAGUCUCUUCACACACCAAACUCGGAUCUAUGAAUUGCUCGAACAAUUCUAGUUCUCAAACCAUAAGCAUUGAAACAUGCAACAACUUCUUACUCAAUGCAUCAACUACAAUAUUGGCUUUACCAGGAUGGUAACUCAAGCAAAAAUCAUGAUCCUUCAGAAAUUCGAGUCAUUUCCUUUUCCUCAUAUUCAACUCCUUUUGAUCGAAUAAGUAUUUCAAACUUUUCUGAUCACUGAACACUUCAAAUCUAGAACCAAACAGAUAAUAUCUCCAAAUCUUUAACAUAAACACCACGACUUCCAACUCUAGAUCAAGCGUAGGAUAAUUCCUCUCAUGAACUUUCAAUUGUCUAGAAGCAUAAGCGACAACCUUACUACUCUGCAUUAGAACACCACCUAGACACAUCUUUGAAGCAUUGUAAUACACAACAAAGGAUUCGCUCGGAUUCGGCAAAAUCAAAACUAGAGCAGACAUCAAUUUUCUCUUGAGCUCUUGAAAACUCUCCUCACAACGCACAUACCUAACAUAAGCUUGACCAUUUCGAGUCAACUGAGUUAAAGGAAAUGCUAACUUCGAAAAGUCUUCAAUAAACCUCUGGUAAUAACCAACCAAACCAAGGAAACUUCUGAUCUCUGAAACACACUUCGGAGCAUCCCACUGUAAAACUGCAUCUAUCUUCGAUGGAUCAACAUCAAUACCACCACUAAAAAUCACAUGUCCGAGGAAACUCACCUCUAGCAACCAGAACUCACACCUGGAUAACUUUGCAUACAACAUCUUUUCUUGCAAGGUCUGCAAUAUAACUCUCAAAUACCCCGCAUGCUCCUCACUAGACUUAGAAUAUAUCAAAAUAUCGUCGAUGAACAUAAACAUAAAUUGAUCUAAGUACGGAUGGAAUAUUCUAUUCAUGUACUCUAAGAACACUUUAUGCGCAUUAGAUACACUAAAUGGCAUAAUUGAAUAAUCAUAGUGACCAUAGCUCGUCCUGAAUGCAAUCAAUCUUACUGAAAACGCAAGCACCAACCAAUUGAUCCACCAAUUCGUCAAUUCUCGAAAGAGGAUACUUAUUCUUGGUAGUCAUUUAUUCAACUACCGAUAGUCAGCACACAACUUCAUGCUACCAUCUUUCUUCUUAACUAAUAGCACAUACGCUCCCCAAAGUGAAACACUUGGUCGAACAAACUUCUUCUCAAGUAACUCUUCCAAUUGUUUCUUCUUCUCAUCCAAAUAUGAAACAAACAUUCUAUAAGGAGUCAUCGACACAGGACUAGUACCAGGUACUAAGUCUAUAGCAAACUCGACUUUGCACUCCAGCGGAAAAUCAUUGAUAUCGUCUGGAAACACUUUUGGAAAAUCACACACCACUAGUAAUUCACCAAUUACAACUUUGCUUUUAUCCCUCAUAGAAGCUAAUAUCAUAAAUACAGCAUCCUUAUCCUUCAUGAACUCAUCUUCUUGCUUGGGCAGACACGAACAACUCGUCACUUGCAUUAAACUUUGGAAAUGACAUUGACUUGUCAAAAUAGUUGAUAUGUACAUAGUUGAACUUUAACCAGUUCAUUCCAAGGAUAACAUCGAGUUUAUUCAGCGGUAGGCAAACUAAGUUCAUCCCAAUUUUUUUACCAUAAAUAGUCAUCGGAAAAUUCAAACACACCCAUGAAUUAGUCACCGAACCAUUAGUUGAGGUAUCAAUAACCAUACUCCCAACCAUAUAAGACAACUUCAAGCCCAACCUCUCAGCACAAUCAAGAGAAACAAAAGAAUGAGUUGUACAUGUGUCAAUAAUAGCAAUCAACAAAAAACCAUUAAUAAAACAAGUACCUCGAAUCAAUAUGUCUUAGAUAGUAGUCUCUGACCCAGUUAAAGCAAACAUUUUUUAAGGAGCCAUUGACACAGGACUAGUACCAGGUACUAACUCUAUAGCAAAGUCGACUUUACGCUCCAGCGGAAAAUCACUGAUAUCGUCUGGAAACACUUUGGGGAAUCACACACCAUUGGUAAUUCACCAAUCGCAACUUUGCUUUUAACCCUCAUAGAAGCUAAUAUCAUAAAUACCUCAACCCAUCCUUCAUGACCUCAUUUUCUUGCUUGGCAGACAUGAACAACUCGUCACUUUCAUUAAACUCUGGAAAUGACACUUGUCGCUACCGGGAUUUCAUGAUAACGAAACCGGGACUAAAGAGAUGCCAAAGAGAGGCAAAGUCAGAAGAGUUGCCACCGAAUUUAUUUAGUUUACCUCUAUCGGAGAGGAGACGGAAAAUAGUCUAUAAAACCCUCGAAAAAGAGACGCGCACGGGAAGCGCUAAAAGAGAAUAAGGAAUCGGUCUCGCAAACGAGAUUUGGGUUCAGAAGUCGGUUAUGUAAGGGGAAGGUAUUAUCACCCCUUACGUCCAUGGUACUCCAUGGGAACCAUUUGGGUUGUUUUACAUACAUGGGAUUUAUCUAUUAUUGUUUUAUUUUCAAAAGAAUAUGUGAAAAGAAGGGGGUGUUUUUGUUAUUAUAGUGCUCUCCAAGGAUUGGGGCCCUUGUGCCUACGUAUCACUCAUUCGGGGAUGAGGAAUCAGAGCUCCGUAGUUCGGAGUAGAAAAUAUUUGUGUGUUGGUUGAUUUUACCUUUGAAAAAAAAAGGGUUUUCGGGAUGAUGCCCUAAGGUACAAAAAAGAGUUUGAUGAGUUGUUUGUUUUUACCUUGAAUAAGGGUUUUAUGAAAGAAUGUUUGUGAUUAUAUUGUACUAAAGUCUAUGGGCGGAGGUGAUUAUUCUAGACAACAAGUCAAGUGUCUUGCGUCCAAAAUAAUCAGAGUAAGGGUAGGAAUGCUCCAUUCUCACUCAUUCUCCACCACUUAAGGCUCUUGGCGCACAAUAAUAAUCGAAUUAUUAAGUGUUUUGAAUUUGAUUAUAAAAAUGCCACUUGACGUUGGAUCAAGGGUUUGUUUAUUUAAUUAUGAAAUUUGCUUAUGCAACAUGAAUGCCAAAGUAACAACAAGAAAUUAAAGAGUCUCAUUAUAAGGUAGCCAGAGGAAAGCCUUUGUGCAAAAGUGACUAAGCAACAAAGGAUAAUGGUCUUACAAACAUGUCCCCUAAGGUGGUGCCAUGAUCGCAUUCUUACAACAUUAGUGUAAGUUACGGAUGAAAAUCCAAGUGUUUACAAAGUAUCACAAAGAGUAAAGGAAGGCCUCCAAGCAAAGGUCCUAAGAUGAAAUCCUCUAAGUCCAAGUUGAUUAAGAGUGGAGUGAAUACUUUUGGUCUUACCAUUUAUCAUGUUUUUUUGUUUUUAGUGUAUGAUGAUAAUAAAAUAAAUAACAAAUAAAUAACAUGCAUGAUGAGUUUGUACAAUGAUGAUGAUAUGAGUACUUGAAUGUAAAUUACAAGGUAAUAACAUAAAAGUAAAUCACAAGAUAAAGAAAGACAAUAUCAAAUGAUAAUGUUUAGUGAAUGUAAAUGACACAAAAUAAACCACAAUUAAUGGUAACAAAAAAAACACAAUAGCAAAGGUAAUUGAUAAAAAAAGUUAGUGAAGUAUAAUUAGUGGUUAGUAAUAUGUACACAAUGAACAUCUUGAGGACUAUUUUUCAUAGGUCAAAAAGACUCAAAAUAUGACACAUUAAGGGAUAGCUUAUUAUUGAUGCAAAGUAUUGAAGAUGAUUGAAAAAUCAACUAACAAUAGAUUUGUAACAAAGAAAGUUAUGCAAUCCUAAGUCCAUCUAUCAAUAUUAUGAUUUGCUCUCUUUAUUUUUGUUUUUUACUCCUCUUUUAUUUAGCAAGAUAGUAAGAGAGUAAAUAAAUUAGUAUAAUGUAAAUGAUAUGGUUAGAUAACAAUGAACAUAAAUAUAAACAUAAACAUAAAGUGCUUGAAAUAAAGUGAACAAUAAAAUAAAUUGCAAGGAAGUAAAGUGCAAUAAUGUAAAUGUUAGGAGUUAGUAGUUAGUGGUUAGUAGAAUAAUAAUAAGCAAAUAGAAUAACAAGUUAAUAUAAAUAAAAUGGUUUCAUCUAUGUAUCAAAUGACCCAAAUAUGGUUGAAAUAGAGGCAACCUAUCAAUGCCUCAAAGUAUCAUGAAGGAUCUAUUGAUCAAUCAUUAAUAGGUUUGAAACAUUGAAGAAAUAUGGUUGAAAUAGAGGCAACCUAUCAAUGCCUCAAAGUAUCAUGAAGGAUCUAUUGAUCAAUCAUUAAUAGGUUUGAAACAUUGAAGGUUUUAUCAACUCUAAACAACCAUGGCCAUGAUCUAAACCAAAUAAAUGUGAAAACAAGUCAACAAUAAAUAGAAAAUGAAACAAAAUACAAAGUUUGAUUAAAUGUGGUAAACAACCAUUUUCAACACAAAAAAACAGAACCAAAAAUUAACAAAGUUUAAGCUAAAAUCAUUACCCAAAAAAUGUUGAAAAAGGGUAGGUUGAAAUGGUGUUGAGCUUGGAUUUAAAGCAAGGGGUUUGGGAUGAAAGUGUUUAUGGUGGAAGUUUAGUGAAGGAUCUGAGUCAUGAGUGGUAGAGAGUGAGAAGCUUUGGAAAAAAAAUAUGAAAGAUGACAAAGAAAAGUUGGUGGGGUGACUUUUCUAAGUGAGAAAGAUUUUUUAUUUUGACUUAGGUUUGGAGAGGAGAGAAAAUGGUACUUGGAUAGAACUUUUGGGGGCUAUGAAGCAUGAAAAAUGAGGGGAAAUAGUACCUCUAUUUAUAGGGAAGCAAAGGGGUUGAAGUGGGUGGACCAAAGGGUCCUCUGUGUAAAAAACAGAGUUAUUUCUGCUGUCUGCGCAGGUGUAAUCGGUUACCCUGAUUAGGAUAAUCGGUUACACAGUCCCAAAAUGGCCAAAAAUCAGUUUUUGGUCUGGGUAAUCGGUUACCAUGAUUAGGGUAACCGGUUACCCAAUUUUUUUUGUUGAAAUAAUGAAUGUAUGCAUGUGUAGUAGGGUCAUGGAUCAGAUGAAAGUUGUAUCGGAGUAGGGUGAAUUUUGGGGUAUGACAACACUGACUUAUCAAAAUAGUUUAUAUGAACAUGUUUGAACUCCAACCAGUUUAUUCCAAGGAUAACAUUGAGUUUAUUCAGCAGUAGACAGACUAAGUCCAUCCUAAAUUUUUUACCAUAAAUAGUCAGUAGACAAUUCAAACACACCCAUGAAGUAGUCACUGAACCAUUAGUCGGGGUAUCAAUAACCAUACUCCUAACCAUAGAAGACAACUUCAAACCCAAUCUCUCACCACAAUUAAGAGAAACAAAAUAAUGAGUUGCAUCUGUGUCAAUAAUAGCAAUCAACGAAAUACCAUUAAUAAAACAAGUACCGUGAACCAAUCUAUCUUAGAUAGUAGUCUCUGACCCAGUUAAAGAAAAAAAUUCCCCUCCAGACUGAACCUUCUUUGGUUUCUGGAAAUGAGUACUAAUGUUUCCUGACUCCCCAUAAUUUAAGCAAGUCAGACUAUUACUCUUACAAUCAGCAAUAAGAUGUUCAGUCCUUCAACGCUUGAAGCAUCUCUUUUCAGAACUCUUGUAGUCAUUAGCAUGAUGACAUGCUACGCCACACUUAAAACAUUUGAUAGAAGUGGAAAUCUCUCCCCCAUUUGGCCUUUUCUCAUUUGAAGCCUUCUACUUCCGUUUGUAAGCUGGAGCAUUAUACGGUUUUCCAUGAUACCGAUCCUUCCCUUUAUUCUCACUAAGACUCUUAUAGUGAGAAAAGCAUGAUUUUCCAUCCUCAUCAUAUGUCCUACACUUAGUCACCACCAUAGGAGAUCGACGAAUCUUAUGAUAAAAAAUACGUUGAUUGAUAUUAGGACGCAACCUGUAAGACCCUAAUUUUGACCCUAAGAUUCCUCAUGGCAUCAUAUCAUUGCACAAGUGCAUUGCCUCAAGGAUCAUAGCAUGUUUGGCUCCUUAACCUUAGGGUUGGGAUUUGUGUGAGUGGUUUGAGACCACAAAGCAUGCUUGUAUUGUAUAUUAUUUCUUUUCUUAUUUUGAUUACUAACCAAAAGCAUAAAAACAUGUCACUAACUCUUUUUGUUUUGAAGCUCAAUUGAUCAUGUGCUUCAAUGUUCCUAGGAGGCUCCUAAGCCCAAUGAAAUGGCUAGAUGAAGAUGAGAAAAAGCAUGACAAUGGUCCACAAAGUUACUAAUCAUCAUAUAUGUCUCCCAAGUAUCUCAAUUUUCCAAUUUGAUCAAGAUAACUCAAAGGGCUUGAGGAUUGUUUCCCAAGGAAACCCUAAUUCAACUAUGCUUUGAUUGUGCCUUGCCCAUGAAGCAAUCUCAACCUCUGAUCAAAUUUAAUCAAGGUAAGUUCUUUCAUUCAUCAUUUUAUGCAUAUAUGAGCCUAUUUGAGGAUCCUCAAUCAUUUAUUCAUCAAGAUUGGAAGUUUGGCCUUGAAAAGUUGACCAGUCAAGUCAUCUGACUAAGCUGAGCACCAUUGAGAUAUAACUUUUUAUGUGUUUGUCAAAUGAAGAUGACCCCAAGAGAAACAAUGUUCUUACGAACCAUAGGAACAACUUUUGUGUUCAUCAAAAAUCCAUUUGAAACUUGGAAGGUCAUCUUUCAUUUCAAAAUAUUAUAGGUCAUUAUGAUUUUAAAGUGAGACCAAAUGCAUUGGAAAACUUAAGAUGUCUACUUCAAAUGUUAUGUUGUACAAAAUUUAAUAAUCCUAAAAGAAAUACAUGUGAUAAUACAAAACAUUAUAUGUCAGAUUGGACCUAAUUCAUUGAAUUUGGAAAAGUACCCAACUUCAAAUACCCAUAACUUUGUCAUAGAAAAUUCAAAUGAUGCAAACUUUGAGUCUAAAUUGAUCAUCUUGAAAAUAUAUACAACUUUGAUGUUGGAGGUUUUUCCAUUUGAAGCUUGCAUCAUGAAUAUAAAGGGGUUUGCAUAGGCUUGCUUUUGGUGAAAUUUUUCAAAGAUGACUUAAACAUGUUUUGUACUUGGAUUUUCACAACCAGUUUUCAUUAAUUUCAAAAUGCCAAAUGAAUUUUUGCCCAACAUGACUUUUGUUCCUUGUUUCAAGGGCUUUCCAACCAUUACUCACAAUGCUCUUUUGGACUUACCAUUUGGGAGUUUCGAAGACCUUUCCAUGAAUGUGCAUUUUGGAUAUUUCAUUUUAUUUCAUGGUAUGCAAGUUGAUUUCAUUUCAUGUACACGUCAAAAUCCAUUCCAUAUGAACUCAGCAAGAUGUUUCACUCAUCAUUGGGCCUUACACGCGCCUGUACAGGCCCAUGCAUCCAAUUUCAAUUUUCCAUGCACACACGAGAAGUGUGAUCAUUUGAGACUUUCAGCUAUAAAUAGAGCUUCCCUCUCAUUCAUUCAUAAACCUUUUGGAGGUCUGAAUUGCUGCAGCAUUGAAACCAUAUCCAUACCAAAGGAAUUUGAUCAAAAAAUUUCUCACUUUCGAGCUUGAAAUUCAGCAUCAUUAGUUGAUCUUCAAAGCUUAAUUCCUUAGCCUUUCACUUCCACUGCAUCCCUAGAGCAAAGAGGAACCAAGCUCUUGAAGGUUUCGUGGCCUGAAGAGCUUCAAUUUAGAGGUAUACCUUCAAACUUUUGGAUCUAGAACUUGCAAUUCAAUGUAGCAUUCUUCUGUUUGUGUGGUUUUCUGAAGUCCUCACACUUGAGGCAAGCCAAUGGUGGUUUCAAUUUUCCAUUUCGUGCACUUACAGUUGGUACACCAUGAUCUUCCACUUCACAUUUCUCUCAAUAUAGGAAGAUUUCUGAAGUCCUCACACUUGAGGCAAGCCAAUGGUGGUUUCAAUUUUCCAUUUCGUGCACUUACAGUUGGUACACCAUGAUCUUCCACUUCACAUUUCUCUCAAUAUAGGAAGAGUGAGGAAGAUCUAUGGAUACAGUGAUGAUCUCCUUCACACAAGCUUCAUUUCCAUGUCCUUAUUUUCUAUUUUUGUUAAAAAAACAUUCUAUGCAACUAGUGGCCGGAAUUGGUUGGUUCACCGGAGAAGAUGGUGGUUUCCACCACCAUCACCAUGUGUGCACAUUCACAGCCCUUGGAUUUGGUUCUCACGUUUUAAUCGUGUGCAUCCAUUGUGCAUACUUCAUUUAAUGUCAUAUGCAGCACGUUUGACUUGGUCACACCAUGCGCCCUCACAUCUGGAUUCUUCAUUAAUGCCACGUCAAUUAAUGAAGUUUAUCCUGUGGCGCUGAUUUUUUCCCUUUUAUUCUAUUUUCUUUUAUUUUCAGUUAAUUCAUUUGAUUUUCAAAAAUUCAAUAAAAAAUUUAUUUGAAGUCAUAAAAAUAUGAGACCAAUUCCAAAAGAUUUCUUGAAAUAUCUAGUUUCAUAUUUUGAUUUUUAAUUAUUUUUGUGACUUCAUUUAAUAUUUUUUGUGAAUUAUUUUAUUUUUAAUAGUUUUAAUUCAUUUUAAAAUACUUUCUGACUUUUGAAAAAUCCAAAAAUAUUUUCCUAGCAUUUAUGGAUCAUGAUAAAUCAAUGAAAAAUAGUCUCAUCAAUUUCUUAUUUGAUUUAAAUAGUUUUAAUUCAUUUUAAAAUACUUUCUGACUUUUGAAAAAUCCAAAAAUAUUUUCCUAGCAUUUAUGGAUCAUGAUAAAUCAAUGAAAAAUAGUCUCAUCAAUUUCUUAUUUGAUUUGAGAUUUGUUUGAGAUUUUAAUCCAUUUUGUGCUAUUUUUAAUUGUUUUUAAUUGUUUUUAAAUACUUUCUGAUUUCCAAAAUUGUUGAGAAAAUUAGUCAAAGCUUGUUUGACCAUGUUAGACAUAUGAGAAUUUAAUUAGACUUGUUGAAGUUGAUUUGAAUUGAAUUUGAGGUUUGACCUUAUUUGAUUAUUUUUUAUUUGCAUUUUAUUUUAAUUCAAAAAAUAGCAAAAAAAAUAUUGUUGACUUGUUGACUUGUUAUCUUCAUUUCUUUUCUGUUUGGUGUUGAUUGAUGAUGAUUUGAUUCACAUUUGAUCAAUUAGAUUUGAUACUUGUCUUUUUUUCCAUUCCCUUUCAUCUUCAUCCCAUUCUUUCCAUCAAUGACCAAUGAGUUAAGUUCUUAUGGCUGAUCUUGACAAAUGAGAGGUUUAACCUUCUUUGAUCCAAACCAAACUCAACUUGAUCCAUGAUCAAGUGAGUUGUUUUGUGUCCAAGAUAGGUUGCUUCUUGGUCAAGCAAAUAACCUAAAGACAAACUCAACUUGAUCCAUGAUCAAGUGAGUUGUUUUGUGUCCAAGAUAGGUUGCUUCUUGGUCAAGCAAAUAACCUAAAGACAAUACAAGGCCCUUCCCCUUUUGUUUUGGCAUGACAAGUUUAUGGAGCCUGGCUUACUAGUCAUGAUCUCUAACUUGUGUUUCUUUGCCUAUAUUUUUAUUGACCGGCCUCAGAUAGGCGUGACUACUACAUUAGUCCACUUACGAUUGUUUAACAUAGCGCUACAUUGUCUUAUGACAAGCUAACAUAACCUCCACUAAUUACUAACUUUAAUUUGAGCAUUUAAUUUUCUUGUCAUUUACUUUUAAUGCCAUUUACUUCUUACUAAUUUAUUCAUAUUGAUUUUCCCUUUGCUCACUUGAGCAUAUAUUUUAUGCUUAUGUCAUUUUUCUUUUGCUCAUUUGAGCUCAUUAUUGUAUAUAAAUAUAUUGCUAUCUUGUGUUUGCUUUGUGUUUGUUUUGUGUGAACAAAUGCAAAAAGGAGAAAAGACUUAGAAUUAGGACUUACCUAUGCUUAAAAGGAGUUCAAGAGCAACUAGGCCUCAUGCCUUUAGAAUGCUAAGUUGUUGAAGAGCAACUAGGCCUCAUGCCUUUAGAAUGCUAAAAUUCAAAGUUGACUUCAAAGGACUUCUCCUCCAAACUUAUUCUUUGUCCAUUCCCCUUAUUGUGUUGUGAACUUUUUGAUGUUUUAUUUUGUGUGAUAGGGAUCCCACCUUGAGAUGGUGAAAAGAGAACCAUUGUCAUGAGUAUCCAAGUUAAGAGACAAGCCAAAUGGAGAUCCUAGGAGCUUGAGUUCAAUUUGUUUGAUUGUUUGCUUAUAUGCUAAGUCCAAAGCAAAGGAGCAUCUUGAGUCAUCUAUAUGACUUCAAGAAAAGGAACUCCAAGGGUUUAUCUUUC